CUCAUUUUAGUAUUUGAAAUCAUAAUUUUCCUUAAUUGAACAGUAUAAAAUAGAAUUUAUAGAGUGAAUAAAAAUGUUUACACGAACCACCAUAAUGAGUACCCUUAAGGAAAUCCCCAAAACCCGGUGUCACAAGUGCACAAGCAUCAACUAGGAAAUAUAAUAAAAUACGACAUAUGUCUCGAAUACAAAUUAGACAGAAAAAAUAUAAAUAACUCUAAUAGGGACUCUGUAGGCUGUGUAGUGUGACAUGUAAUGCAGCGAACGGUAAAGUCCCCGCAAUAGCCGCGCCGUUGCACCCAAAAGACCAUCAGACAUAUAAGUACCUGCACAAAAAGUGCAGCAAGUGUAGUAUGAGUUCGUAAAUCAACGCGUACCCAGUAAGUAUCUAGCCUAACCCCAGAGAAGUAGUGAUGAUGGGUCGAUAUCGACACUUACUAGUGGUCCAAUAAGACAGAUACAGUAGAAGUAAACAGACGUAAAUCAGUAAAAGUAACCGAAGUAACAAGUAUAACACAUGGUAUAAUCCUCCUUUCAGCAAUAACUCAAACUCUCAGCUAAUAGCUACCUCUUCAAUCAGAGUAUAUAUAAUGGACCUUACCAGAUAGGUCGUCACAGUUAAUCAGGAAAAACUCACAGAUAUACUGGCUUCUUGCCAAUUAUUACGCACAGUUUCAUAAGAGUAUUUUAUAAAAAUGCCUAGGCGUACGACCCGAUCCAUCAUAACAUUUCCAAACCAUAGAUACAUCUAUUUUAUUGCCGAGGCGAACGGCCCGCUCCCAUGAGAGUAUGGUACAUAAUCCUGCCGAGGCGAACGGACCCGAUCCCUUAUAGUGUGCGCACUGCCGAGGGUCGAAUGGCACGAAACAUAAGUGUAUCUAUCUUACCGAGGUAAACGGCCCGAUCCCAUUAGAAUAAGAAGUUUUGACGGGUCCUUGACCCCACUCAUGAAUAGACAUGUGANNNNNNNNNNNNNNNNNNNNNNNNNNNNNNNNNNNNNNNNNNNNNNNNNNNNNNNNNNNNNNNNNNNNNNNNNNNNNNNNNNNNNNNNNNNNNNNNNNNNNNNNNNNNNNNNNNNNNNNNNNNNNNNNNNNNNNNNNNNNNNNNNNNNNNNNNNNNNNNNNNNNNNNNNNNNNNNNNNNNNNNNNNNNNNNNNNNNNNNNNNNNNNNNNNNNNNNNNNNNNNNNNNNNNNNNNNNNNNNNNNNNNNNNNNNNNNNNNNNNNNNNNNNNNNNNNNNNNNNNNNNNNNNNNNNNNNNNNNNNNNNNNNNNNNNNNNNNNNNNNNNNNNNNNNNNNNNNNNNNNNNNNNNNNNNNNNNNNNNNNNNNNUAUAUUAAGGGAAAACCUUUCGGUGAAAUGCGAUACGCGGAAAAAAUUCGUAAAAGAAGUACAAUCAUUUCGCGGCUAAUCAUGAAGCCUGUUGAAUCUCUACCAUAUCAAGUCUAUCACUCUACGCAAGUCUAGUCUCAAGUCGCAACGUAAAAUAAAGGAAUUUAAUAGGCCAGAGACAACUCAAAUAGUAUAAUUAUAGCAUGGCAGGAACCUAAGUCUACCCGAACAUAACAUAAAUCUAGCUACGUACGGACUCUCAUCACCUCGUGCGUACGUAGCCCCCGCAACAAGUAGCACAUAAUAAAUACAUCACCUAGGGGUAGUUUCCCCCUCACAGAGUUAGACAAGAGACUUACCUCGCUCCGAAGUUCCAUAACCGGCUCCAAAGCUUCUCUAACACCACAAACCGAUGCCCGUCGAUCCAAAACUAUUCAAAAAAUUUGCAAACCAAUCAAAAGAUACUCUACUACCCAUAAUUAACCAAUUUAAACAAAUUUUCAACUCUGUUCGAAAAGUCUAUAAAAUCAACCUCGGGCCCACGUGCCCGGAUUCUAAAAAUUUUUAAAGGUAGACUUUACCCAUAAUACCACGAACUAUAAUAUAUAACUUAUUCCAAAUUCCAUGUCCAAUUUCGUGGUUAAAAUCCAAAAAUACCAAUUCUAGGGUUUUCUUCAAAAUUUUAAAUUUCUACUAAUUUCCAUGUUUAAGUCUAUACAUAAUCAUGUAUUUAACUCACAAUGUGCGGGAAUCACUUACCUUGACAUAGAUGAUGAAAACCUCCCCUUGAAGCUCUCCGAAAUCGCCCAAACCAAGAGAGAAAUGAGCAAAAAUCCUGAUUUAAAACAAUCUGCACAGACGACCUUCCGCUUCUGCGGCCUUUUAGCCGGUUUUGCGGCUCUGCACCUGCGGACAUUCCCAUCGCAGGUGCGGCUUUCCAUAAGCCUAGCCAAGUCCAGUUCUGCGGAUAGAAAACCGCUCAUGCGGUCACGCUUCUGCGGCGCCCUGACCGCUCCAGCAGUUUCGCUUCUGCGGAGCCUUGACCGCUCCUACGGUCCAUUGCCAAAGGCCUAGCCCCGCUUCUGCGAUGCCUUGCCACUUCUACGGAUGCGCAUCUGCAGAAGCCAACUCCGCAUCUACGUCCCUUCACCCAGCUGGCCCAAGACUUCUUUUGCGACCCCUUGGCCGCUUCUACGGCCAAAACCUCGCAGGUGUGGUUACACUAGAUGUGCUGCCACCAACAAUUCCAUAAGGACAAAUUCAAUCCGUUAACCACCCGGAAUCUACCCGAGGCCCCCGGGACCUUGACCAAAAAUAUCAACCAGUCCUAAAACAUCAUACGAACUUAGUCGAGCCUUUAAAUCACAUCGAACAAUGCUAAAAUCUUGAAUCGCACCCCAAUUCAAGCUUGAUAAACUUUCGAACUUCAAACUUCUACAUUCGACGCCGAAACCUAUCAAAUCAAGUUCGAUUGACCCCAAAUUUUGCACACAAGUCAUAAAUGACAUAAAGAAACUAUUCUAAGGCUCAGAAUCCCAAACAGACAUUGGUAACAUAAAAAUCCACUUCAAGUCAAACUUACGAAUUUCUUAAACUUUUAAAAUACCAAACUUCCAUAAUAAGCACCGAAAUUCCCCCGGGUGAUCCGAUACUCAACCCAAACAUACGCCCAAGUCCGAAAUCAUCAUACAAACCUAUUGGAACCUUCAAAUCCCAAUUCUGAGGUCGUUUACUCAAAAGUCCAAUCUUAGUCAAUUCUUUUAACUUAAAGCUUUCGAAACUAGAAUUUUCCUUCCAAAUUAACUCCAAACUUCCCAAAAUUCAAUUCCGGCUACACGUACAAGUCAAUAUACCUGUAGUGAAGCUACUCAAGGUCUUAAACCAUUGAACGAUAUGCUAGAACUCAAAACAACCGAUCGGAUCGUUACACAAGCAAACAAUUCACUCAUCGAAAAAUUAGGUAUUCAAAAUUAUUUUACCCACAUGAAAAAUUUGAUACACAGUAGGAAGAGAUAACCCAGUAAGUCUACUCACUAGUUAGAAAACCCCCAAAACUCCCAAAAGAAAACUGCAGUAAAUAUAGAAAUCACUAACCCGAAAGGAACUAAUGGUGAAAUGGGUUUGGCUUUGCUCGAUAAUAGACCUAGUUAUGGAAGGAACAAUAAGUUCCUUGGGAGCUCAGAUCGGCGACUUUCACCGAAAAAAUAGGACGUAACUGUAGAAGAAAAAGGCAUAUUUUUUAGAAGUCCAGAUCUGUCACUUCCAUAAGCAAAAUAGACCUCCACACGGUUGCUUCAAAAUGAUGGAUUCUUCUUUAGAAGUGUUAUAUCAAUAUGCUAUGUUUUGGAUUCAACUAUCGAUUUGGACUAAUUAGAAACAGAAGGUCUCAGAGAACUACUUUAUCUCUCUUGGGGCUUAAAAAUAUUAGCGAUUAAAAAGAAAAAAUAACUUACACAAAAUGUUAGGGUUAAACAAAAAAUAAAAAGGGGAAAAUAAGGAUGGAUUUUGAACCGUCCUAAUAGAUUUUAUUUUUUAUAAUCGUCCCUACAGAUAGACAUAUUGUGACAGUUUUGAAAACCAUAGCAAUAAAAAGACUAUUGGAACGGUUCUAACACUAAUGCAAUGGUUUAGUUACAAAAAUGUCCCAAUAGGAUCCAUAUCCUAUUGCAACGGUUAUAACCGUUGCAAUAGACCAUUUAUAGCAACGAUUAUAUUAGCCGUUGCCAAAAACUAUUCCCAUAGGCCCAAUUUCUUGUAGUGACAAGUUUGUGAUUCGGUUUUGAAGGGAAGGUCAUGAGUUCUAGAUAGAAUGGACGAGUUCAGAUGUUUAGAAGAAUGUUAGUACUAUUUGAUAUUACCUUAGAAGAGUGUACAUUCUCGAAAGGCACAUUGUGUUUGACUUGCGGAUGCUUGACUGGUAUUAUGGUAAUCAUGUAAUUGAUCGAGUAAUGAUAUUCAAAUUUUUCAAUGUGGCAUGGAAAAUUAUGGAAGUAUUUCUCGUAAGAUGAUUGUGUAUGAGGGACGUGCCAGUCACAGUGGAGUUGUGAUUGGACAUGGAGACUCUUGUGUUCUAGGGAUUUGAAGACUAGAAGGGUUCUCAUAGGCAGAUUGUUCCUUGGCUGCGAAUGGUGAAGGAAUGUUAAGAGGUUGAUGGCUGAUUGUAAGUGUUAUGGAUAGGUUAUUGUGGACUUUUAAGAGGUUAUCUACCUAUUUUGGGCGGAUUGGGAUGGAUUUGGAGGUCAUUGGUAGGCCUAAUAAGAUGUAUAUUCUACAUCAGGACAGAUGUUUUUUACUCAGCAUAGCUAUUAUUGAGGGGUGUCUCAUUGGUUAGAGUUGAUCUUAUUCGUAUUCUGAUAUGUUCCAUGUGUUACUCUUCUAUACUACGACGAGUUGUAAGACAGUUGACUAUUUACACACAUGAUGCGAAUCUGUUUGGGCCUUGUGGCAGAAUUCGAGCGAGAUGGAUCUUGCGGUGUUGAAUGGUUAAUUACGCUUUGGUUAUGGUCUUCUUGUUUGUGGUAUAUCGUGCUAUCCACUUCUCUAUGGUUAUGAUAAUGCACUUUACAUAUUUAUUAUUGAUAUGCAUAUGGUUGUUGAUUAUGGGCAUCAUGGCUCGAGGUAUUCCAUGUAGAUUGGUGUUUGGAUUGGGUCACGCAUCACAAUGAAGUUAUGGUUGGAACUGGUCCUUUGUGCUUAUUUCAUGUGUUUAUUUCUCCUUUGUGUGAUGGGUUCAUAGCAUUGCGAUUCGUGAUGGUAUCUGUUGAGCUUGCAGAUUCUCUCAUUUGAUUAUCUUUCCAUCAUUGGGACAUUCGAGUCAUUUCCUGUUGUUGCAUAAAUUGCACGGUAUGUUGCUCGAGGUGGUGCUGGUGUAACGUAUCGAGCGAACAGCUUGUACUUGAUGAGAUGAGGAUAUUGGACCUGGAAAGAGUGCUAUCAGAUUUGAUUAAGAUAUGUUUUGAAGAUUGAUAUCUCUAGUCAGUUUAGAAUUUGGCGAUGGUUCUUAUCGGACAAGGGAGCUCCACGACUUGUUGAUCUGAUGGGUGGUUACGAGUUUUCAUGUGUUUCUUUUUCCGUUGGUAGUAUAUGAAGGUUUAGAUUAGGGUUUUAUUUGAUUUGAUGUUUGUUACCGGUACCAGAUUUGUUAUCGAUCAGCUACUGUGACCAGAAGCUAUUGCUAUGAGUAUCUGAGUUAUGUGUUAUAUUAUGUGAUUAUAUCAUAGGUUAUGGUUAUGGCUCGAUACAACUUGUUCAGAAUUAUAUUAUGUACAAAUGUGAGAAUCAGAUCUUAUAAUGGAUUCCGGAUGUUGGAGAUUCGAUUAUAAGGUUUGUUGACUAAGGUCGUAGUAAGGAUCUUCAAUUAGUUUGUGUUGUCAGGCUUAUAUGAAUCAUAAUGAUGUGGAAUCACCUAUGGGUAUGCACAUUGUGAGUUUAUACAGUGAUUUGAUGGCUUUGGAACGACUCUCGGCACAUUCGAAGACGAACGUAUGUUCAAGUGGGGGAGAAUUUAACAACCCGACUGGUCAUUUUGAGCAUUUGCAUUCAGUUCAGUGGUUUGAGUUCAUGAAUAGCUUCAUAUGGUGUAUUAUGACUUGCGUGUAUCGUAGGUUUGGGUCUUCAAGUUGAUCAGAAUUGAUUUGGAAGAAUGAUUCUUAAAUAGGAAGCUUUAAGUUGGAAGAGUUGACCAAGUUUGACUUUUGUGUAUUUGACCUCGGAUUGAAGUUUUUAUGGUUCCAUUAAGUCCAUAUGGUGACCUCGUAUUUGAUGUUUCAACGUCGUUUCUUCAAGCAUUAAUGGUACCAAAUUAAGCAAAUGAGAUCUAAAUUUUUUUUUGAUUGAUGUAUUAGACCUUAUUAUAAUUACGGAGCCAUAGCAAAAAAAAUCAUCAAAUUUAGACAUCGUAUGAGGGAGUUAUGCCCAUUUUAGUGUAGAAGAAGAAAGUUGGUGCUGGUGCUUCACAGAUGCGUAGUGGGGUCCGCAUCUGCGACCUCGCAGGUGCGAAAAAUGAUCCGCAAAAGCGGAAAUGACAGCUGAAAAACUGCAAUUGCGCUUUUUUGGGCGCAAAAGCGGAAUCUCUGUGUAUUAAAAAAAUCAGACUGCCUUCAUUUGGUAUUUUGAGCAUAUCUUGAGUUCUAGAGCUCAAAUUAAGGUGAUUUUUUUCGGCGUACUUUUCGUAUUUUCAUGGGGGUCAGUAUCUAAACUCAAUAUUUGUAUUUUAACAUGAUUACACUAGUUCCUUUGUGAAUUAAUCUAUGUUUUGAUUGGAGAAUUGAGGGGUUUUUGUCAAAUUUUUCUAAAAUGAAUAAUUGGGUUUUGAACAUCAAUUCAGAGUUGGAUUUGAUAGAAACUAGUAUGGUUGGACUCGUAUUCGAAUGGGUUUUCAUAAUAUUUGAGUUUUGUCGGGUUCCGAGGUGCAAGCUCGGGUUGACUGUUUGGUUGACUUUGAGUAUUUGAUUAAAGAUUCGACCUUUUUCGUUUGAGUUUAUUUCCUAUGGCAUUAUUUGAUGUUUUUGAGUUGCUUUUGGCUUGUUUUGAGCCGUUUGGAUGUCGAUUCGCGCAGAUGGCAAUUCUAGAGUAUUAUAUGGCUUGCUCGAUAUUUGAUUUAACUUGUUCGAGAUAAGCAACAUAUCUAAACUGGAAUGUUCAUUGGUUUAAUAGGCUUGAAUUGGGAGUGCAAUUCAUAGAUUUGAUGUUGUUUGAUGCGAUUUAAGGCCUCUAGUAGGUUCGUGUUGUGAUUUGGGACUUGAUGGUAUGUUCGGAUGGGGUUCCGGGUGCCCCGGGUGUGAUUUGGAUUUCAUUUGGGACUUAGAAAGGCUCUGAAGAAAUUUGAGUUUCUAGUGUCAUCGCAUCUGCGGUGGGCUUGGCCGUAGAUGCGGAGUCAGAGGUGCGGCUGGGGAUCGCUGAAGCGAAGGAAGGCUAGUUAGGUGAAAGUCACAGGUGCGGAUGCGCAAAAGCGCAAACACUUCCGCAUAAGUGGAAUUUUGGAGAGUGUUGAGGGACCGUAGGUGUGGUUGAUGGCCGCAGAGGCGGAUGCAUAGAUGCGUCUUUGGUCCGCAGAAGCGGAAGGUGAAAUUUGAUGAGUCUUUAGUGAAGCCGCAUCUGUGAUGAUAUUUCUGCAGAUGCGACUAUUGGACCGUAGAUGCGGAAAUCACUAGGCAGAAAUAGCUUCAUCGAGGGUUUUAUUUCAUUCACCGCACGUUGAGCUAGAGAGCUCGAUUUUGGGCGCUUUUAGAGUAGAUUUUCAAGGAUUGGAUCGAGAUAAGUGUUUUUGACUCGGAUUUUUUCAUUAUUCAUGAAUUCAUAUUUGUUUUUAUCAUUUAAUUAGUGAUUUAAGUUGGAGAAAUUGAGGAUUUUUGUAAAAACUUUCCUAAAUCAUAAAUUGAGGAUUUGAAGGCCAAUUUAAGGUCGGAAUUUGAUAAUUUUAGUAUCGUUGGACUCGUAUCGGAAUGGGUGUUCGGAAUGUUUAAGUUUGGUCGGGUUUCAAGGUGCAGGCCCGGGUUGACUUUUUUGAUUUUCUUUAAAGAUUGAAACUUUAUUUUUCGGAAUUGCUUUCUAUGGCUUGUAUUUAUGGUAUUGAGUUAUUUUGGCUAAAUUCGAGCCGUCCAGAGUUGGAUUUACGUGGGAAAGGCUUAUUAGGGGAUUGAUUUGACUUGUUUGAGGUAAGUAUCUUGUCUAACUUUGUGUGAGGGAAACUACCCCUUAGGUUUUGGAUUGAUUACGUUAUUUGAGUUUUGUGAAAGAAGUGUACACGAGGUGACAAGUGUGUACACAUGCUUAUAUGUGAUAUUUUGACCGGUUAAGACUCUUAGGCUCUUUCAUGCAUUUAAUUAGAAAUUGUAAUAUCAUGUUAUAUCUUUCAUUGUUAAAUUGCUCUGACGUGCUUUACUUGAUGUUGUUAUAUCGUGCUUAAUAUUUAACUGUCAAAUAUGCUCUUAUAUGCCUUAAUUGAUGUUGUCAUCUCUCUUAUUGUCACGUGCCUCUUUAUUUGUUGAGUCAUUCUUAUUUGAAGUUGUUAUUUCCUGAUGUCUCUUCGUGUUGAAUUAUCCUCAUGCAUUUUGACGUAGUUUUCUAUUUCAUACCAUCUUUUUCGUUGUUAAGCUUAUGUUAUACAAUUGAAUUGGAAGUUGCCUUUUCAUAGGAAUACCUUCAUUUUGAGUUAUUGAAGUUGAAGUUAUGAAAGCUAUUAUCACAUUGAGGUUGAAGUUGUUGAUUAUUGAGAUAUCUUUUCCUUGUUGAGUAAUUCUCAUUCUUUUUGUUAUUAUUGAGAUUCUUGUACACAUUGUGAUUGAGCCGUGGGCUAUAUGUUGUGGUAAUAUUUGUAAUGCUGAUUUUGCCAAGUGUUGUGACAUAUGGGCAUGUGUGGUGUGAGUUGAUAUUGUGUUGUAAUAUUGAUAUACAUGAAGUGGUAUAAGGAUAGGGGUUGAUACGCAUGCGGUGAGAUAAGGUGGGAUUUAUAUCCGUAUUGCUAGUAAGGGAAUUACUUGAAGCCACACGAUGAGAUAAGGGGGCUAAAACGCGUGUAGCUUUCGGAAAAAAAUAUUUUCAAAAUAAAUGCAAAGCUCAUGGGAAGAUAUAAGGAAGAUUGUGAUUGAGAUUUGUGAAAUGAGGUUAUGAGGUGUGGUACCUCGGUUGUGAUUCUUGUUCUGCGUUCUAGGUUAAAAAGGUUUGUUGGUUGAAUAAUUCUUGUUGUUUCCUUCUUUGUCUUACUUGUAUUUGUCCGUAUUUGAUUACUUGUUAUUCUCAUUAUGUGUUCAUUUCUUGUUGUCUUUAUUGCCUUAAAUCCUGUUGUUAGCUUACAUUAUUGUACUGCCUUAUUGUCAUUUAUUUCCUCGCUUUCCAUUAUUAGACUGUACCAUACUCUAUUCAGUUUUUCUUAUCCUAUUAGGUGUCUUGACAUGGUCUCGUCACUACUCUACCGACGUUAUGCUUGAUAUUUAUUGGGUACCGUUGUGGUGUACUCAUACUACGCUUUUGCAUAUUUUUGUGUAGAUUCAGGUACAUAUGCUCGUGCCGGAAGCCAAUCGUACAAUUAUUUUCAGAGACUUCAAGGUAUACCUGCUCGAUGCUCACGGGCCUCGGAGUCACCUUCUAUUAUUUCCUUUACUACUGUUUAUCCUUUUAUUAGACAAUAUUGUAUUAGAGAUUUUAGUACAUUUUGUAGAGCUUAUGACUCAAUUCCACUAGUUUUGGGGAUCUUGUUACCGAUGUUCCACUUUGGAGUUAUUAUGAGUUUUCAUCGAUUUAUUUUGUUAUCUUAGUUUUGUUAAUUUCUGUUAAGCUAUCAAUGAAUGCUAGGUUUACCUAGUUUUAGAGACUGGACGCCAUCACGACUACCUCAGGUGGGAUUUUGGGGUUGUGACAUGCAAUUUAUUGAUAAUUACCCAUAUUUUAUAAAAUAUAGGACUUUUUAUUAUUUUAUUAUAAUUAUUUAAAUACUACUAUGUUGUGCAUUUUUUUAAAUCUCAAAUAAUUUAUUGAUAACUGUCCUAUUUUUUAAAUAUUAAAAGAUUCUAUCAAUUUGUUAUCUUUCAAAAAUAAAAAUAAUAAUUACUACAACACUAUUGUAGUAGUUGGCAUUUUUAAUAAAUAAUACAAGACAUAUUUCUUAUAUAAAUAAUCACCUUCUAGUUUAUAGCACAAUCUAUUAAUUACAUAGAAGCCAGUAAAAUUUAUUUCAAAAUACGGAUCAAAUUCAGUCAAACCCCAUGUACCGUCAACGUCCGAUGUGACAAGACAUCAUGAUGUGACAAGACAUCAUGAUGUGACAAGACAUCUUGAUGUGAUUUGACCUCCUUUUAUCCAAUGUGUAAAGACCAUUGUUUUGUCUUUUUCUACAGCUUAAUAGGUAAGCUAACUAUACUACAUUGAUAUACAUACAUAAACAGAUUAAAAAAGAGAGUACACGAUAUUAUGACACAUGGUUUCAAAGAUGGUUUCACUUUUGACCACAUAUUUUAUUUUUAUAUUAUCUUUUAUUUUUACUUAAAUAAGGGCCACAUAUUUGUUACACACACCCAUUAUAAAAAUACAAGCACACACCCUCACAUAAAAAAAUACACUAUAUUAGAUUUUUCUAAAAGGGUUUAAAAACCCUAUAACUCUCUUCCUCUCUCUUUGUUUUGGCACUCCUCUAGCCGCCGAUCCCACUCCCUCUCCUAUUUGGCUCUUGACUACCAUCGCCAUCAGCAGAGCGGACCAUCGGCCGGCGGACGUCCCUUCCCCUCACCACCUCUCCUUUUCUCACCCUCUUCCCUCAACGCUGCUGCUAUUGCUUUUACUAGUCAUCGCCGAAUUUCAUCACCGGCCGGCGACUACUACUUCACCAUCGAUGACCUCUCUGCCUCCCAUCUCUGCCUCAUCUUCCUCUCCUUUUCUUCAAUCUUUUAUUUGUCAUGCAGGCAAAAAAUACUAUUGAGAAUUGCCAGAGCUGGCCAGAUUAAAUCUAGUCGGUGAACGAUGGCCACACCACUUUCCCUCUCCCCUUUUGUCCAUUACAGAUCUGCCACUGUCGGAUUUCAUCACCGUCUUGCCGGCGAUUGUCGUUUGACUUUGUGAUCAAUCUGGCGACCAUUGUUUAUCCAUCCAGACGUUAAUUGUGCUUUUCACUUCUUCGAAUCAGGCCAGAUUUUACUUUUUUUAGUGAUUCCCUUUCAUGCUUUGCUUUUGGCCAGUUCUCAGAUAGGCGCCAUCAUGGCAUGUUGAGAUUUGGGUCGUGACAUUUGCCUAGCCGGGAAUUCUGGUUUUGGAGUUAUCGCAUUUGCGAUGGAUAGGUUGCAAAUGAGACUAUAGUAUUUGCGAGGGGAAUCUCUCUUUGCGAAUCUGGGCGUGUGAGGCAAUUCUACAUUUGCGAGUGUUUGUCUGCAAUUGCGAGCACGAGGUUGUUACCUCUUGCGAUGAUUGGUGUCGCUUUUGCGACUGCAUCCUCCGGUGGUUGGGUUUGCAUAUGCAAUUUUGGUGGUCCCAAUUGCGAGUUGCCGCUUCUGGGUGGACUUUGCUUCUGCGAAGUAUUUUGUCGCAAAUGCAACUUUGCUUGGGCUAGUUGGGUUCGCAAAUGCGGGACUUUAGUCGCAAUUGCGGUGACCGCUAUUGCGAACCUUUGGCGGCGAAUGAGAGAUCCGUAGAUGAUGCUUAGAGGCCAUAUCGGGGUUUGAGUUCAUUUUGUCACAUAUGCAGAUUGGGAGCUCGGUUUGAGGCAAUUUUUGAGGGAGAUUUUCACAUUUAACUAUUGGGUAAGUGAAUAUCAUGUAAUUUUGAUAUUAUAUCUUUAUUUCUUACGAUAUUUUACACCAACAUCAUAGAAAAUUAAAGAAAUAUUUGGGGAUGUUUUCUAUAUUUGGAGAAAUAAAAAUUUAGAAUUUGAGAGUCGAAUUGAACUCGAUUUUGAAAACUAAUCACAUAUCUGGGCUUGUGGGGUUAUGGGUAGUCGGGAUCUAUCCCUUGACUUGAGUUUUAACCUUGUGGGUCCGUGGUUGACUUUUGCUGACUUUUUGGGAAUUGGGUAAAAAUUGGAACUUUAUUAAUUGAAAUUGUUUUCUAUUGAGCUAUUUGAUGUGAUUGAGUUAUUUGGCUAGAUAUGGGCUGGACGGAGGUGAUUUUAGGAGAAAGGAUAUUUUAGAGGUUUGAUUUGGGCUCAUUGAGGUAAGUGUGUUGCGUAGCUUUGGUUAAGGAAUUCUUUUCCUACUAAUUGUUGUUGUUUGCUACAUGUAGGGGUGAUAUAGAUAUGAGGUGACAAGCGUAUACAUGUUCCAUUUGUAUUAAUACUCGAGGUAGAUUCUAGCUUACUCUAUACUUUAUUUGGUUGUGUGUUUUAUUUGAUUCCAUGUAUUAUUUAAUUAAUCGAUGAUGUGAGUACAAUAAACCAUGCUAGAGGAAUGUUGAGGCUAUUGGUACCUUAUGUAGAACAUGAUGAGCAAAUCUUGAUAUUUAUGCUAUAUUUGCCUCGGAGAUAGAUACACGUAGGUUCUGAACACACAUUCAGACUUGUUCUUGUAAUGUACCUUCAUUGAGAUGUGUGCACUUUGUGAUACAUAUGUAAUUCUUUAUAUAACUACUUGAACAUGGUUGCUAUAAUUGAUUUUGUUAUAGUCAUUCUUUAUCCACAUUUUUAUUGUUAUCAUGUUCUUGUGCGCUUUAUAGAUGAGUUAUGAGGAUAUGCCUCUUGAUGAUUGUUGCACCCUAUUUUGCACAGGUUAAAAUAAAAAUAACUUGUGGUUCCUCUGAAGGUUAUGAAAGAAGAGUCGCUACCUAAUAUUUAGAUUUAUACUAGGGUACUUAUAAGUCUUUAAAGAUUAUUAUCUUAAUGGUCUACUAACCAGUGUGAUCCGGGUAAGGGUUCUUGUUACACUAAAGGGAAAGUGUUAGGCAUCCCUUAAAAUCUAUCUAAGAUAGCUCCUUAAACAUAGGCUAGAUGCGGGGAAGGAAAUUCCCGUAUCUUAAUUGAUUAAUUGAUUAAAAUUGCUAAAUGGUUUUUUAUUAAAAGCCUUGUAUAAGUAAAAAUCAUAUUGAUUCUAGUUUGAAAGAUCAUCUUUUAUUUUGAGAAAAAGAAAUUAUUUUCCCAUUAGAAAUGGUAAGAUUUGUUUAAAAAUCUUUGUAAAAUGAGGGGUUAUUUCAAGAAAAUGUGUCUACGUAUUUAUUAAAACUGGUAUUCCUGAUUUAUUUAUUUGAAGGCUGUUUUACUAAGACCAGUAUAUUUUCCAAAAGGACUGCUUAGUCCUAGUUCUUUUAAAAACCAGUGAUGUAUGAUUGCCCUUUUUUGUGUUAGAAUAGUUCAGUUGCCUAUGAUCCAUUUUGAAAAUAUUUCAAAGGAGUUAUUUCUAUUUAAACUCAUUCAAGUUUUGUCGAUGCAUAAAACCAAACAAAACUCAUUGGAAAAGAUAUGCAAGCGAAAGAAAGAUUAGUUGCCAAAAUAGUUAGUUUCAAAAUAUUUAGAUUUCAAAAGUGUUAAGGUUGUUAAAGUAAUUAAUUCUUGAAGCUACAAUUACUUUUUACCUAUUAGAUGUUGAUUUGCCUAAAAUCUGCCUAAACGAUCAAGACAUUAAUGAAUUUCCAAUAUACACAGAAAGAAAGACAGUAACAAUCAACAAUUAUUUUUAUAUAAAGAAAAGGUAGGCUGGACUCUCGUUAUUGGGCUGAAAGUUGGUCAGACCCAACUAAAACACUAAGUGGCAGUAAAGUUUUGGCAGAUAGCAAAGAGACAACCCAAUUCUCGUACUUGGGCCGGAGUUCUCAAUGAACUCAUCAGACCAGUGAUCCAUGCGAAGAAAAUAAAAGGAAAUGAUUAUAGCAUAUAAAAAUAGAAGGUAAAGUAAGAUAUACGCAUGAUGAAUAGGAACAUGAUCUAUAAGAAUAUAGCAAAGCCAAAUUUCAUUUAUGUUAAUCCCAUGAAGAUUAGUCAAGGUCAAUGACUAUGGGCUUAGGGUGAACCUUAUGUAUUUAUAAGGCCCUCCUAUGGACCCCAGGUAAUUUAGAGUUCACGAGGGUCUCAUGGACCCCGAGUAGUGGUUGUGCCAGGGAGGGGUCCCUUAAUCACAAAGUCAAGCUCACAUUAAAAUACCCUUAAGCAAUGAACAUCACUCUUCUUUAGAGGUUUUAGCACAAACAAAAUAUCGACAUGGCAUUUCAACCAAACAGGUGCCUAGGCAGCCUCACACAACCAAUACAAAACACACUAGCAAAAGUUCAUAAGGUCUCAUAACACACUCAGGGAAUUCAAUUACACAGAAGCACCAAUUGAUUCAAAGCAGAAAAUCAUUCUAGGGAGUGAAGUUAUUACUGAGGUGCAAAGUCAUGAAUAAUCAAGGAUUAACACAUACUUGAGUUCUAAACCCAUGAUCAUUAUCAGGCAUAGGUUACACAAGUUUCCAAAAUUUUAAUUGCUUAGAAGGCUUAAAGGUUGAUUCUGAAUCAUUCCAUGUGGCACAUCAUUUACAAAAUACUCAUAAGAGUCACAUAUACAAUCAGGAAAGGGUUGCAAAGCACAAACGAUUGACCAUAUACUCCUAUAAGCAAGUUAUUUAUAAUUUCAGCUUCAAGAAAGUCACACUAAGUAGCUUAAGGCAUUGAAAAUUGGUAAAUACAAACAUAUGCACUCAUUUACUAACUUUACUAAAGGUCCAAUACUUCAUAGGGAACCUAUUAGAUAGAGUUCCCUUUAGGUAGGUUUAAGUUAUUAAAGCAAGUAACAUAAUACUACAGCAGUCUCAGAACAGAACAAGCACAUAGUUGAGAUUUUCAUAUCACACUAAGAAUCUAUGCUAACAACUUACUCGAAAUCGGUCUUAAAGGAGUUACUACUAACAGUGAAAAUACAUGAGAGCAUUAAGAAUGAGUAGAAUGGUCAAAAUUCAGUCUCACUCAUUGAGAAUCAUGUUACUGAUAUGUUGCUUUAUCUUAGAAUAUGGGAAUGUACAAGAAAUUUUGUGGCCUUUGUUCUAUUGGAAAUUUGUCAGUGGUGAUCGUUUCACCACCAUGUGCUGUUAUGACCAUCUUUCCUUGUGAAAUAUCGAUCCUGUGUAUGGGAAGAGCAGUACUUUGAUGCUGGUUUUUGGUUUUAUUUAUCGACAGGACAUUGUUAAUUUCGAACAAAUAUCAUACCUCGGCCGAUGAAAAUAAUUCGAGUUAUUGAGGCCAUGACCCUCCAAUUGACCCUCCAAACCAGGCCUGAAAAUAAACUAGGCGAUGGCGAUAAAUUCAUCGAAAAAGAAAACACGAGAAAUGUUUGAACCAUCAAUUUAGAUGGCGGCACAAUUGGCCACCGUAGUCGCAACCAAGGAGUUUUUCAUUCUCAUGUCUGACAGAAUCAAAAAAUACAUUCGAGCCUCUAAAAACAUUUUCCAAAACUAUUUUCUAAAAAUAUUUCCAAACAAAAAUCAUUUCAAAAUAUGUCAUAUUUAAUUUAUUUUUACUUUAUAUUAUUUUACUAAUAAUUUUGUUUCUCUUAUCUUGUGAGGUAUUGUUAUAUGGAGCCUCUUUCAAAAUAUGAAGCUCGGAGGAAAAAUACAAAGACAAACCCCUGUCAAACCCCCGCUUCGUACUUCCCGUUCUCGAAUGUACUCAAAACGCAUGUAUAGUGAAACGAUAAAUAAAUGUUAUUUUUGCUACUUUACAUAUUUACCUAUUUGUCAAACACUUAGGGUAAAUCACAUCUAGUUAAUAAUCUGGUUAACUCGUAAUGUUGUACAUUAGAUAGUUAGUGAAGUUUGUAUGUAUACAUUUAUGAUGUUGAGUAAUUGUACGACUUGGCUGAUUGAUAAUGAUCGAUAUUGUAGCGAUCUGACUUGUUGUUUUGAGCUUUAGCGUUCCAUUCGGUGAUUUGAGGUCUUUAGUAGCAUCAUAUGAUGUAACACGACUUGUGUGUAUGGUUGGUUUUGAUGUUCAAGAGGUGCGGGAUAGAUUUGGAAGCAAAAAUUUCAUAUAUGGAAGCUUUAAGUUGAAGAGUUGACCAAGGUUUGACUUUUGUAUAAAUGGUCUCGAAUUCCUGUUUUGAGGGUUCCAAUACGUUCGUAAGGUAAUUUUGGACUUACGAGUAUGUUCGUAUUUGGAUUUGGAGGUUCCUAGAUUGAUUUGACUUUUUUGGGCUAAAGUUAACUAUUUGGGGGUUUAGAAAUUUCAUAAGUUUGACCAAAUAUUGACUUUGUGGCUAUCGGGUUUGGAUUGUUGUUCCGGGACUUGUAGUAGGUAUGUUGUCACGACCCAAAAUCUCUCCUUAGGAGUCGUGAUGGCACCACAACAUUUCUGUAACAACAAUUCCAAUACCACAAUCACAUAUAGCCCACGACUCAAUAACACCGAGUAUAAUAAGAAUAACAAUAACACAAGGUACAACAAGUAAAUAAAUACAAGAAUGACAACAAUGCAAUGAAACGGAAGAAUAAGCUCAACGAUGAAAGACAUACAAGUAAUAAUGACUUCAAGUAACAGUAGUUCAACAAUAAAAGAAAUAACAUGUAACACCAACUUCAAAUAAGGAUAAUCAAUUACGGAAGAGAUAACAUGUGACAAUAACUUCAAUUAAGGAUAAUCAACUACGGAAGAGAUAACAUGUAACAAUAACUUCAAUUAAGGAAACGACUAUCGAAGAGAUAACCUGUAACAGUAAAGUGGUAACAAUUACAAUUAAAUCAUGUAAGAGUAUAUUUGGCAGCAAAAGAUAGGACAUGAACCAACAACUUCAAAUAAGGCAUAUAAGAGUGAAUUCAACAAUGGAGGACAUAACAUGAUAGAGCAAUUUCAAUUUAGUGUGCUUAAGAACCCUAAGAGUCUAAACCGAUUAAAUCUCCAUAUACAAAGCCGUGUACACGCUCAUCACCUCGAGUACACGUCUUUCACAUAGUUCAAAUAGCCCAAAUAAACCAAUUCCUACGGGGUAGUUCCCCCCCACAAAGUUAGGCAAGUUACUUACCUCAAAAGCCCUCAAUAAAUAUUCUAAACUAGCUUUUCCUUUACACACCUCCGCUCGGCUUAAAUCUAACCAAAAUCAACUUAAUAACAUCAAAUAAUGCAAGAGAAAUCAAUUCCAAUAAAUAAAACUAUGGUCCUUGCAAAAUUCCUCAAAAGUCAACAAAAGUCAACCCCGGGCUCGUCCGGUCAAAUUCCGGAUCCAAAGGUAAAUUCCGACUACUCAUAACCUCAUGAGUCCAUAUAUGUAUUUUAUUUCAAAAUUUAUAAGGCCCCGUAAAAUUUCACCUAAAACUCGGGGUUUCGUGGCGCCGAGGUAAAAUAAUGUGAUUAAGGGUUGUAGAAAUUCAAGCUCGCCGCGGUACAGACUUUGUGGGUUGUACAGUACGCCGGGGAGCUGAAAGAAUCAUUUUGCAGACAUUACAUUUCUGCGGUCCACUAUGCGAUCGCAGAACCACUUUGUCGGCCGCAGAUCGGCUGCGGAGUGAAGCAGAACGUGAGCUAAUUUUGAAGACCAUUAUGCGGUCCAUUAUGCGGCCUCAUAACUAUUUUGCGGGCCGCAUAAUCCAUCAUAGAACCAGUACGAGAAGACUUCGGAUGGAGGUUCUGCGGUCCAUUAUGCGACCGCAGAUCUAUCGUAGACCUGUCCAUCCCUACCCAGUUUUUGGGACCUUUUCUGCGGUCCCCUUUGCGGUUCACAUACCUAUUUUGCAGUCUGGUCUGCGACCGCAGACCCGGCUUCGUAGAGUUUAAGUUUUGAAAAAUUUCACCCGAUCCCAUUUUUAUAAAAACAACUUGGGGUUUAUUUUGGCUGGUCCUAACUGAUAUUUUAGAGAGAGGAAAGUGGUUUAGAGUGAGAGGGGGAUUCCUAAGCUAAUUGUUCAUCAAUCUUUGCUCAAGACUUGGAGAAUCCACAAGGAAAACUCACAAGAUCUUCAUGCAAGAGGUAAGGUUCCAUACCCUAUUCUUCAAAGUUGUGGGAAGGUUGUUGAGCUCAAAAGGGUAGAUAUUGGGUUCUGGGAUAAAGGAAUCCACCAUAGGAGGACCUUGAAAUCAUAAUGAUAAAAUGCUCAAAUGAGCUGAAACCCCGAGUAUCUUUCUAAUUAUGGUCCAAUUUUGUUAUGUUUCUAAAUAGAUUGAGGUUGCUAGGAAUUCUGGAUCAUUGUAGUACUUAAGGGAUUUCAAAGCGAGGUAUGUUGGCUAAAAUCCUCUUGCAGAAUCGAAUCCAUGAUGUCCUCGUAAGUUGUAAUUAUGAUUGGCUCAAGCUCUUAUGUCUCAUGUUCCGAGUUAUUCCUUAUAAAUUUGACUUUUCCGAAUAAACUCUGUGUCGAAAGAUAUAUGUUCAAAAUGUAUUCCGAAUACUCUUAUCAUAUUGUGUUAUCCUUCGAGAUUGUAUUCAAAUGUGACCAUGUGUCGAAAUAUUAUGAAUUCAAUUAUGUCUCAAUUGCUAGUUAUUAUGCCAAAUUGUGGAAGAAAGCUCAAUGUGCCUAAGACUCUUAUUUGCUCAUAUGUGGACUAAAAGUCAUGAUUAGAGAUGCUUUGUUGUUGAUAAUCUAUGAUGAUGUUUGAAAGUGAAAUGGGUGAUCAUGACAUAUGAAAUACGGCCGACAUGCCAAGAAUGAUAUGACAUGUGUGGCCACUAGUGCUAAUGAAAUGAAAAGAUAGAGUAAAAGACUAUAGAAUAAAGCUAAAAGUCCUUAUAUAAUAANNNNNNNNNNNNNNNNNNNNNNNNNUCCACAUGGCAUUGUGGUGAGACGGCCUAUCCGAUCGGAUCGAGAUCGGACGCCAUGCCGCACACAUGGUGGUGAUUGUGCUUGAGAUUGUGAUUGAGAUAGUGAUUGAGAUUGUGAUUGUGAUUGUGAUUGUGAUUGUGAUUGGAUGUCUUUGGGUGAGACGGCCUAGCCGAUCGGGCCGUGAUCGGACUCCGUGCUAAAGAUAUGGUGGUAUAUCGGUACUAAAGAUCUCCCAACCUAAAAUAAUGUAAUUUACUUGAAAUAUUAUCUUUCUCCUAACUUGAUGUCUUCGUAUUGUUUGAGGCUCUCAUUGAUUCUAUGAUUGUUCUUCCUUGUUUUAUUACUCGUUUAAUUGAGAGGGUGUUUAGUCAUUCAUACUAGAACUAUUCCAUAUGUACUAACGUCCCUUUUGUCGGGGGCGCUGCAUCUUUAAUGGCUGCAGGUGGUUCCACAGCAGGCAGCUUUGAUCAGUGAUAGCGGUACACCCUCUUCCCAGCUGACUUUUCGGGGUCGUGUAUCUUUUGUUCCUUGUGCAUUAUGUUUUGAGGUAUAGCCCGGGCCUUGUUGCCGGCACUACCGUAGUACUCUUUUGUAUCUAUUAGAAGCACGUAGAUAUAGUGUGGGUUGUAUGUUGGUGUUGGGAAAGUCAAACUAGUAAUGUUGUAUUUGUACCACCUGUUCCACUCAAACUAUGAAAGUGUAUGUAUUUUGAGAACUUAUAAAUGAUAUAACUAAUGGUAAUGGAUUGGUGUAGCUCACAUGAUCUUCUCCUGGUCUAAUUAAUGAAAUAGAUCUUCUCUUUAUUCAUGGGUUAGUUCGGGUAGGAGGUAUUGUGCAGGCUUUCUUGGCCGGGUUAUCUCGGUUGAGCGCCAGUUGCGCUCCCCGAGGUCGGGGCGUGACAAAAUCCGAGUCCAAAUCGACUCUCAAAACUCAAAUUCUCAUUUUUCAAAAUAUAGACAAAGUUUCUCAAAAUUUCACUUUGUUUCUCAUAAUUUUGAUGUUAAAGCUGACAUAUAAUCAUGUAAAAUAGUUGGAAAUUGAUCAAAAUCACUUACCCAAUGAUUGUAGAUGAAAAUCCCUCUUCAAAAUUGCCUCAUACCGAGUCUAGGGGUUCCAAAAUAUGAAAAUAAGAUCAAAAUCCGGUCCUUGAGCUUAUAUGUCUAGUCGCAGGUUUAUUCAAUGCGACUUGGGGUCGCAAAUGCAAACCCCGCAAUUGCAAAGAAAGUUUGCAAAUGCAACAAUCAUCACACCCCUGCUACAGUCGCAAAGGCGACAUUAAAUUCGCAAAUGCGAACCAAAGACACUUCGCAAAAAGCGACCUAUCUGAUCGCAAAUGCGAACAAGCUUACCCAGGUCCCCUCAUCGCAAAUGUGAACUCUAGGUUUGCAAAUGCGAACCUAGCAUACGUAAGCCUAAUAUCCCAAAUGCGACCCCUAUAUCGCAAAUAUGAGACCUGAAGCACCUGUUCAACACUAGCAAAACUAAAACUCUUUCAAACACUCCGAAACGCGUCUGAAACUCAACCGAGCCCUCGGGGCUCCAAACCAAACAUCAGUACCAGUAUGAAAACAUAACAUGAACUCGCUCGCAUGAUCAAAUCAUAAAAAUAACAUCCACAACCACGAAUUAGACCUCCAAAAUAUAUAAAAUCAACAUGAAACUCAAGAACUUCUGAAAACACAAUCGCGCGUCCGAUUCCUAUCAAAUCAAUUCGGAAUGAUGUCAAACUUUGUAGACAAGUUUCAAAUAGCAACAUGGACCCAUUUCAAGUCCCGAAAUAAAAAUCCAACCACAAUAGCUAUGAAGUCAACCUACAGAUAAACUUAUCAAAAUUCUAAGAUUUUAAAUUGCCAACGUUUGGCAAAACAACACAAAUCAACUUACGGACCUCCGAAUUCAAUUUUGGGCAUACACCCAAGUCCAAAAUCAUGAUACUAACCUACCAGAAUAAUGAAAACACUGUUCCGGGCUCAUUUUCACAAAAGUCAAACCUCGGCCAAUAUUUCCAACUUAAGCUUCUAAAGUGAGAACCACUCAUCCAAAUUCUUCCCGAGAUAUCUGAAAUUCAAAUCCGACCAUGCACACAAGUCAUAAUAUACAAUAUGAAGCCACUCAAGACCUCGAACCAGUAAAUGGAACCUUAAGACACAAAAUGACCGAUCGAGUCGUUAUAUCCGUUUUAUUAUUUACAACUUGUGUGCAAAUGUUUGGUGUCAUCCCAAGUUGGUUUGGUAAGAAUCAAACGCUUGAUUGUGAAUAUUGACGUUCUUGAGUUUCAUAACUUGCAUGAUGCAUUUUGGUCUUCAAUUUAUGGCUUUAUAUGUUAUUUUAAUGAUCCGAGCACGCAAGCGAGUUCGUAUGAGGUUUAUGUACUUGUUGGUAUGAUUGAUCAGGGUCCCACGGGGCUCGGAUGAGUUACAUGAUGAAUUCAUAUGGUUUAUACUGUAACGACACGGCCGGUCAUUUUGAGUAUUGCAACCUCAUUUCCCCAUUUAUUGCUUAUUUUAUGUUUGUUUGUUGUUAUGUGACUUAUCGGGGUAGUUGGUUUAGUUCCGGGGAUGUUUUAGAAUGAAUUGGGACACUUAGUCUCAAGGUUGGAAGCCUAAGUUGAAAGAGUUAACCUUAUAUUGACUUAUAUGUAAAUGACUCCGGAAUGGAGUUUUGAUGAUUUUGAUAGCUUUGUAUGGUAAUUUUGGACUUAGGAAUGUGUCCAGAUAUUGAUUUGGAGGUCCGUAGGUGAUUUUGGCUUGAAUUGGCGAAAGUUGGAAAAGUUGAAGUUUGGAGAGUUGAAAUGUUUGACCGAGAGUUGACUUUGUGGUUAUCGGCCUUCGAUUUUUGUUUCGAAAGUUGGAAUAGGUCUGUUGUAUCAUUUGUGACUUGUAUACAAAAUUUGGGGUUUAACGGAGUUGAUUUGGUGUAUUGCGACAUUGGUUUUAGAAGUUGGAAGUUCAAUAGUUCACUAGGCUUGAAUUGGGACGCGAUUUGUGUUUUCGAUGUUGUUUGAUGUUAUUUGAGGGUUAAACUAAGUUUAUAUAAUAUUUUAGGAUGUGUUGGCAUGUUUGGGUGGGGUCCCGGGGCCUCAGGUAAGUUUCAGGUUGAUUGCAGAUUGAGUUUGGCCUUGUACAGCUGCAAAUUUUCUGGUAUCUAGUUUCCUUAUACAUGUUCGCAAGAGAGGUAUCGCAUUCUCAAAGAGUAUCUAGGUGGCAGGUGAAGUUUUUUCUUUGCGUUCGCGAAGAAGGCCAUGCGUUCGCGAAGGUACAAUGUGUUUGUGCAUAGAAGGAUGAGCUAUGUGGGGCACCAGGCAUGUAAGCCUUCGCGUUCGCAGGAGUUGGUUUGCGUUCACGUAGGCUUGUGUUCAUUGGUCAUCGCGAUUGCGAGGGAGGUAUCGCGUUCGCGUAGGAGGGUUUUGGGCAGCUGAAGAUUUUGUACUUCGCGAACGCGAGGCACUUUCCGCAUUUGCGAAGGACAUCUGGGCAGCUGAUAUUUAAUUUCAAAAUCAAUGGUUUGGACCCAUUUUUCAUAUUUUGAUCUAGAGACCUCGGUUUUGGGUGAUUCUUGAAGGGAUUUUAAAGGAGUUGAUUGGGGUAAGUGAUUCUAACUCGGAUUUGGUUAAUAUACAUGAAUCUAUAAUUGUUUUUACCAUUUAAUUAGUGUUUGGGGUUGGAAAAAUUGUGGAAAAUUGUAGAAACUUCAUAAACUAUAUUUUGAGGAUUUGAAAGGCGAUUUUGAGGUCGGAAUUGGAUGAUUUUGGUAUGGUUGGACUCGUUAUUAAGUGAGUAUUUGGAUUUUAUAAAUUUUAUCGGAUUCCGAGACGUGGGCCUGGGGUUGGAUUUUCGGGUUGACUUUUUGACUUUGGUUAAAGAACUUAGCUUCAUCAUAUGGAAUCGAUUCCUAUUGCUUGUAUUGAUUGUACUAAGUUAUUUGUGGGUAGAUUCAAGUCGUUCAGAGGUCGAUUCGCGAGGCAAAGGCUUGUUGGAGCAGGGAUUUAUGCGGUUUGAGGUAAGUAACACUUCUAAACUUGGUACUGGGGUUAUGAAUCCCUGAACUACGUGUUAUGUAGUUGGUGUUGAGGUGACGCACAUACUAGGUGACAGGCGUGUGGGCGUGCACCAUGGUAAUUGUGACUUAGUUGAUUCCGUGGUACUAUGUAGUUAUCCAAUCUUGUUGAUAUUCAUGUGAUCUCCAUGUGUUAGGGAAAUUGAGAUAUGAUCCAUGCUAGAAAUCAUGUUUAGGCUAUAUGCUGACACUGUUGGGAUCCACUGAGGUCAUUUCUACUGUUGAGUUAUUUGCUUAAAUUGCAAUUAUGUACUCCGUCACAUUCAUUAUUUGCAUAUCAUAUCUCAGUCUCUGUUAUUAUUUAUUGUUACAUCAUGUAUCAUUGUUUGCGCUGAUUGGCAUGAGAUUUGUGAGCCCGAAUGAUUGGAGAGAUUGAUGACUGAGUGAGGCCGAGGGCCUGAUUGUGAGUGAUAUUUAUGGAAUCGGGCUGCACGCCGCAACAUACCAUGUUGGAUUAUAUUAGCUGUAAUGACCCGACCGGUCAUUUUGAGCUCUAGCGCAUCGUUCAGCGGUUUGAGGCCUUGAGUAGCUUCACUUCAUGUUUUAUGACUUGUGCGUGUGGUCGGAAUUGAAUCUCGGGAAGUUCGGAGUUGAUUUGGAAAGAAAAUUCUAAAUUCGGAAGCUUUAAGCUUGAAGGAUUGACUAAGGUUUGACUUUUGAGUAAACAACAUCAGAAUCAGGAUUUUAAGGUUCCAAUAGGUUCGUAUGUUAAUUUCGGAUGUGGGCGUAUGUUCGGGUUGAGUAUCGGGUGGCCCAGAAGCAUUUCAGCGCUUAUUGUAGAAAGUUGGCAUUUUUGAAAGUUUUGGAAUUUCAUAAGUUUGGUUUGAAGUGGAUUUUGAUGUUAUCGAUGUCCACUUGAGGUUCCGAGCAUGGGAAUAGGUUCGUAUUGUGAUUUGUGACUUGUGCGUAAAAUUUGAAGUCAUUCCGGAUUGAUUUGGUACGUUUCGGCACAAGAUAUAGAAUUUGGAAAUUUGAAAAUUUAUAAGUUGAUUUGAGGUGCGAUUCAUAAUUUCAACAUUGUUUGGCGUGAUUUGAGGCCUCGACUAAGUUCGUAUUGAAUUUUGGGACGUGUUGGUAUAUCUGGUUAAGGUCCCAAGGGCCUCGGGUGAAUUUCGGAUGGUUAACGAAUCGAUUUUAGACUAAGGAAAUGCUGGAAUUUUUCUGGUUGCUGGUGCGAUCGCUUCUGCGGAAGUUGGGUCUUAGAAGUGACAUUGCAGAAGUGAGGAUCACGUCACAGAAGCGAGGAUCGUGUCGCAGAAGCGAAGAAGGCUGGCUGGGAAAGGCUUCACAGAAGCGAAAAAUGGAACGCUUCUGCGGCUUCACAGAAGCGACAGAGUGGUCGCAUAAGCGAGCUGGAGCGCAUAUGCGGCUAUGGCUUCGCACCUGUGGUUGCACAGAAGUGGAAAGGAGUCCGUUGGUGCGAUGGGACUGCUGACCCAUGGACUCCACAGAUACGCAUUUGUCAUCGUAGAAGCGACUUCGUAGAUGCGAAGAUUUUGUCCGCACAAGCGGAAACUGGGCAGAACAUAAGGGAUCGAACUUGGUCAUUUCGUCAUUUUCAUUUGGGAUUUUUGGAGCGCGGUUCCUGGGUGAUUUUGAGGAGUUUUCAUCAUGCAACACUAGGUAAGUAAUUUCCCACUUGUUGUGAGCUAAAUGUAAGGUUUAUAUGUGGAUUUAAGGAGGAAAAUUUAGGAAAAUUGUUUGAUUUUAUCAGAAAAACCUAGAAUUGGUAAUUUUGGAUUUUGAUCACGAUUUUGGAAAUAGAAUUAGGAAUAAAUUAUAUAUUUGAGUUUGUUAUGUUAUGGGUAAAGUUUAUCUUCGAGAAAUUUCGGAAUCCGGUCACGUGGGCCUGAGAGUUGAUUUUUAUUGACUUUUCGAACGAAGUGGGGAAUUGUUAUAAAUUGAUUAAUUAUGGGUAAUAGAGUAUAUAUUUAUGGAUUUGCACAUUGUUUGACUAGUUUGGGAUCGACGAGCAUCGGUUUGAGGUGCUAAAGAGCCUUUUGAGCCGGUUAUGGAACUUCAGAGCGAGGUAAGUCUCCUGUCUAACCUUGUGAGGGGGAAACUACCACCUAGGUGAUAUUUAUUGUUAUGUGCAACUCAUUGUGGGUGCUACGUACGCACGAAAUGACGAGAUUCCAUAUGUAGCUAAAGUAUGUUUAUNNNNNNNNNNNNNNNNNNNNNNNNNNNNNNNNNNNNNNNNNNNNNNNNNNNNNNNNNNNNNNNNNNNNNNNNNNNNNNNNNNNNNNNNNNNNNNNNNNNNNNNNNNNNNNNNNNNNNNNNNNNNNNNNNNNNNNNNNNNNNNNNNNNNNNNNNNNNNNNNNNNNNNNNNNNNNNNNNNNNNNNNNNNNNNNNNNNNNNNNNNNNNNNNNNNNNNNNNNNNNNNNNNNNNNNNNNNNNNNNNNNNNNNNNNNNNNNNNNNNNNNNNNNNNNNNNNNNNNNNNNNNNNNNNNNNNNNNNNNNNNNNNNNNNNNNNNNNNNNNNNNNNNNNNNNNNNNNNNNNNNNNNNNNNNNNNNNNNNNNNNNNNNNNNNNNNNNNNNNNNNNNNNNNNNNNNNNNNNNNNNNNNNNNNNNNNNNNNNNNNNNNNNNNNNNNNNNNNNNNNNNNNNNNNNNNNNNNNNNNNNNNNNNNNNNNNNNNNNNNNNNNNNNNNNNNNNNNNNNNNNNNNNNNNNNNNNNNNNNNNNNNNNNNNNNNNNNNNNNNNNNNNNNNNNNNNNNNNNNNNNNNNNNNNNNNNNNNNNNNNNNNNNNNNNNNNNNNNNNNNNNNNNNNNNNNNNNNNNNNNNNNNNNNNNNNNNNNNNNNNNNNNNNNNNNNNNNNNNNNNNNNNNNNNNNNNNNNNNNNNNNNNNNNNNNNNNNNNNNNNNNNNNNNNNNNNNNNNNNNNNNNNNNNNNNNNNNNNNNNNNNNNNNNNNNNNNNNNNNNNNNNNNNNNNNNNNNNNNNNNNNNNNNNNNNNNNNNNNNNNNNNNNNNNNNNNNNNNNNNNNNNNNNNNNNNNNNNNNNNNNNNNNNNNNNNNNNNNNNNNNNNNNNNNNNNNNNNNNNNNNNNNNNNNNNNNNNNNNNNNNNNNNNNNNNNNNNNNNNNNNNNNNNNNNNNNNNNNNNNNNNNNNNNNNNNNNNNNNNNNNNNNNNNNNNNNNNNNNNNNNNNNNNNNNNNNNNNNNNNNNNNNNNNNNNNNNNNNNNNNNNNNNNNNNNNNNNNNNNNNNNNNNNNNNNNNNNNNNNNNNNNNNNNNNNNNNNNNNNNNNNNNNNNNNNNNNNNNNNNNNNNNNNNNNNNNNNNNNNNNNNNNNNNNNNNNNNNNNNNNNNNNNNNNNNNNNNNNNNNNNNNNNNNNNNNNNNNNNNNNNNNNNNNNNNNNNNNNNNNNNNNNNNNNNNNNNNNNNNNNNNNNNNNNNNNNNNNNNNNNNNNNNNNNNNNNNNNNNNNNNNNNNNNNNNNNNNNNNNNNNNNNNNNNNNNNNNNNNNNNNNNNNNNNNNNNNNNNNNNNNNNNNNNNNNNNNNNNNNNNNNNNNNNAUAAAAUAGGCCGAGCCUUAAACACUUGAGUUGUGGGCGAGUUAUUUGAGAAACGGUAAAGAUUAUAUUUGUUCUAUGCUCAUGUACUGUAUUGUAAACACGUGUCUCGUAAUUCGGUAAGUUCCUUCCUUUCUUAUUGAGCGGGCCGAAUGCCUCAGCAAUAUAAUAGAUGCAUCUAUGGUUCGUGUCGUUCGACCCUCGGCAGUGAACACAUUAUUCUGGAUCGGGCCAAACGACCUCGGCAGAAUCAUGCAUUAUAUCGCUUGUAGUCCGAAUAUUCACGAGAUAAACCUUCCACAGAUGCUCGUUAUUUUUAUGGUAUUACUUAUUUAUUUGGUAUUGACACUUGGCAUUUUCCGAGAUAUUACGUUAGAAUACAAGAUCGAAAAAUUUAUACUUUAAAAGAAAUAUUUGAAAGAUUAUAAAAUUUACAGAUUUACCCCACUAUUGAUGUGCACUUCAUAUAUGAUAUGAGUUUUUAUAUUGUUUUAUUGGACCUCCAGUAAGUAUCGAUGUCGACCCCUCGUCACUACUUCUCCGGGGUUAGGCUAGAUACUUACUGGGUAUGCGUUGAUUUACGUACUCAUACUGCACUUCUACACUAAAUGUGCAGGAUCUGACAGGUUCCUUUGGUGAUCAUCUUGGCGUGUAGGCGCAUCCGUUGAGGAGAAUUUAUGUGAGCUGCAAUUCAGGCUACGCAUCGCUGUCCACCGAGUCUCCAUUGUACUAUUUAUUUUAUCUUGUCUUAUUUACAUUCUGGACAGAUGUUGUAUUAUUAUUGUACUCCUUAGAAAAUGCUCAUGCACUUGUGAUACCGGGUUUUGGGGGUUCCUACAGGUUGUUCAUUAUUGUAGUACCCUAAAAAUUCUAUUUCAUACUAUUUAAUUAAUGAAAAUUAUGAUUUUAAAAUACUAAAAUGAGUAAUUAGGUUUAUCAAUUACCGUUGGCUUGCCUGAUGGCGGUGUUAGGCGUCAUCACAACCUUUAGUGGAUUUUGGGUCGUGACAGCUUGGUAUCAGAGCGUUAGGUUCACUUAGGUCUCACGAGUCAUGAGCAAGUCUAGUAGAUUCUUGCGGAUUGGUACGGGGACGUCUGUACUUAUCUUCGAGAGGCUACAUGGAUGUUAGGAGCACUUCCCUUCUUGAUUCCUCAUCAUGCGAUUUGAUUCCAUUGAAGCUUGUGCCUUUAUUUCCUUCCUACUCAAUCUUACAUGACGUGGGGCGCUUGUUAUUAGUUGGGCGUCGAGGAGUUAUAGUGGUACUGCAGACGUGGUGCAAGAUGUUUUUCCCUACGUGUUUGGGAAGGCUAUUAUCGUCGCCUUGCAGAAGGAUGUUCUGUUGUUUCGUCUCAGUAUCUGUAUUCCAUAUGGUUUUGAGACUGUGCACAGAUUGCUAUGAUGUCUAUGCGUUGUUAUCGCACAAUGUUGGUGUAAUGGUAGGGUGCUUGUUUAUGUGUCGAGGCAGUGAAUGACUUGAAAGGAGGAUUUCUCAAUGCAUGAUUUAGAGGUUCAACAUUUAAUCCCAGUGAAGGAAAGGCAAUCGAACUAUAGAUGUCCAAGUUUGGUUGAUGAAGUAACGAGAGUUGAUAUUUUGAGUGUGGUGGAAUUCUCAUUCGUGAUGUGGUGCCGCCUUCCUUGUUUGAACGCAUUAAGGUUCGUUGGUGUUAUAAUUUUCUUCAAUUUUUGCCUUCGGGGCAGGGUGUUGUGAAGUGGUGCCUAAGAAGUGGUUGUCAGAGAUAGCAGAGUGUAGCGGUUUCAGAAUCAAAUUGGUAUAUCUAAAGUUGAUGGCUCAAGAAAGAUGAUCUUCUAGGAGUUUUAGAGUUGGUAGCAGUUCAUUAGUUCAGGUGCUACAUGUAUGGUCUUGAUUUGGGGCAAUAUUUGGACAGCGAAGGAUGAGGAAGGACAUGGCGGGGGGUGUCUCGUGAUGGUCAAAUUACUAGCAGGUCAAGUAUGAAGAGAAGAGGUCGAGAAGUUGCUUAAAGGAGGUGGUUUAACCGAUGUGGGAGUGCUAGAGUAGCAUAUGGAUUCUGCGGUAGGAAAGCCACUUGCCUUGAGGAAAGCUUAGAGAGAUUUGGGAAUCAUGGUGGAUAAUGGCUAAGCCUAUGCAUUUCAUUUGGGAUGGUGGCUGCUGUACGAAGAAAGAUUGAGUAUGGCAGAAAGGCAUUUGCUUGAAAUGAAGAGGGGUGUGAAGAUUUGAUUAUCAUUUCGGAUGUAACAUGACUUUGAGUUUGGAAGGUAUUGUUGGACUUUCAAUUGAUGUCAAUGGGGAAGGAACAUGCUUGUACAGCUGGUGGACGAGCAUGGGCUCAGGAGGGUUUACUGAACUCGUGGUAGUUGUACCCGGUGAAGUGUCAUUGGAAGAUGUCAACAUGGAAUACCAUAUGUGGGUUAUCUCCUGUGAACAGGUUAUCGGUUGCGUGAUUUUGAUGAGGUUUCUACGAAGAGUUCUACUAAGUACCCAAUAGAAGGUCGAGUAUGCGAUCGUGGCCGAUAAUUCAGAAUGUUUCAUGAAAAGCUUAACAAAAGACUUCGAGAAAUUUGGCGAGUUAACUGUGCGAGAUCAUGGUAAUUGAGAAGGAGGAAUCGUUGUGGGCUCUACAUUAUGUGAUGGGAGGUUAAAGCUAAGUGGGGGAGCCCACCGUCUGCGAUUGGAUCGUGUGGUUGUCUACUUGUGCAGUUUCUGGUUAUCGAUGCAUUGGUGGAUUAUUUAUGACUAAGAAAAGAAAAUAUCAGGAGUAAUUCGAUCAAGGAACUUGAUGAAUGUGUGCUAUACUUUUCCUUAUCAAUUAACGUACAGGUUUUGGGAAGACUCAGAGUUUAUGCUUCUUGUGGAUGUAAUGUACAAGGAAAAGAAUUCAGCCGGCUGCUUCUUUGAGAGGGUAUUCCUGUGCUAGCAGAGCAUUGAAGUUUGGUUAUAUUUGGGAUCAGGUAAGAGUGGGUGACUCUCAACAAUGGUCCUAGUGGGUUCAAGAAUUAAAAUGCAGUGCCUAAGGAUUUCAGGUCCGUUGUGCGGUUAAGGAUCAAGUUUUCAUAAUGGAUUAUGAACGGGACUUGGAAUGUUCUAUGUUAUCAUCGGGUAUGCAGUGCAGUAUUGGAGGAAAGGAAGAAAUAACUUUGGAUUCGCGGAAGGUCUUGCAGAAUGGGUGUACUAGUUGGAGAUGCUAUUGUGCGCAUAAGGAGAGUAUGAGAUGGUUCAUGAGUAUUGAGAUGAUGUGGUCUCAUGAUGCGGGUCACUAUGGAUGAGUACGGCUUUGGUUUGUUACAUUUGUGAAUGGAUCUAUUAUUAUUUUAAGGCAAGUCGAGAGUAAAUUGGAAGAAGUUGGGUUGGUUAGUAAUGAUUGAAUUAGCAUGAUUGUGGCAAAGAUCAGUUCCUUCAGCGUGUGAAGUUAUACAUGUGGUUUGUGGUUGUACGCGCGGGCUUGACAGCCACCACAACUUGAUUGAUUUGGGAAGUAUUUGAUUCAAAUGGCCUUGUGGUGUAAAUGGAUUACGGAGGAGUCAUGGCGGUUUAGAUCAUGACUUGAGGUUUGUAUUUUAUGCGGUUUGGGAAUUUAGUUGCGUGUUGCAUUGGCUCUUCUGAAAUGAGCUAAGUGAAAGGUUUCUUGCUAAUGAAGUGUUUAUUCUACUGGUAGUUCAGGGGUUAUGAUGAAUUCGUGUAUUCUCGCGUAGCGGCAUGAUAGGUGCAGUGAGCGGCAUGGAAACUUGAAAGCUGAGGAUCAAGGUUGCAGUUCGGUGCUGACAAUAAUGUCACGAGCUCGGAUAAGCAGGGGAGAAUUCAGAUGUUUAGAGUAAACUGACAUUUCCUUUAGUGUCACCUGAGAACGGUGUCCUGUGUAAGAGGCUUUGUGUAUUGAUUUGCGAACUCUUGGUUGGCCUUACAGAAUUAGCACUGUUGGUGGUAUGGAGGUGCAGACCUUGCUACCUGGUACGAAAGGUCGUGGGAGCGUAUCCCAUGGGGAAAUUGUAUAAGUGUGACAUAUUAGUCACUUGAUUGUUAAAGAUUGAAACCAAGUAUGGAGAUUCUGGUACUGUCGCUAAUGUGAGAGUUUAUGCCUGGAAGGCGCCCUAGUCCUUUGGUUGUGAACCGUGGGAGUUUGUUCCGGAUUGAGAUGACUUGGUUAUUCGCACAUGUGUUGUGGUCCCGUGUAGCUUGUGGUAUUAUAUGAACAGGAUGGCUCUCGAGAUGCAGAUCAUAUAUCGCACCUUAGUUGUGCUUGGGUUUUGUAGCGUAUGGUGCUAUCCGUCUCCCCAGGAUUUGUAUUGUGCACUUAGCGUGCUUGUGGCCGAUGUUCGGGCAUUUUGUAAGUAGAAGCGUUACGGCUUGAUGUGUGUGUUUUCUUCUUGAUUGUUAUGUGCGGAUCGGGUGGCACGCCGCCACGGGUAUAUUGUUUGGAUCGGGUGGCACGUCGCCACAGGCAUGUUGUGUGGAUCGGGUUACAUGCCGCAAAAGUGUCAUAUUGGAUCGGGUUGCACGCUGCAACAGUGAGAUGUUGAGCAUAGUUCCUUACACUUAUUUUGUGCGCCUUGUUUUCAUAGCAUCUAUUCGGCCAUUUUAUUUGUUACGCAGGCUGGGUAAUUCCCUGUCAGAGUUAGUUUUUCCUUAUGAGUUAUAUUCAAGUGGUGGCUUGUUGGCGCUUUGAUGGUGCUAUAUAAGAUCUUGGUCAGUGUUUGAGGUGACUCAUUGCCUGAGCAGUUUGUACUGGGUGAAACAAGAUUAUUGGACCUGAAAUUAGUGCAAUCAGAUUCAUAUAAGGUACAUUAAAGAGAAAUUAUCGUUAUUCAGUUCAGAAUGAGGUAAUGGUUCUUAUCAGGAGGAGAGACUCCAUGAUUUAUUUAUUUGUCAGGAGGUUAUGAGUUUCUACAUGUCUCUUUCAUCGUGGAAGUAUUGCGAGAAUUCGAACAGAGCUGACAUGUGUUAUGAGGCGUGUUGCGGGCAUCAGAUUCGUAAGAUUUCAGCUGUUGUGGUCGGAGGAUGUAUUAUGGGCAUGUGAAUUAUGCGGUGCAUGGUGUGAAUUCAGCAAAGGUGUACGAUCAUGUUUUGGUACAGUGUGUAGUGAUUGAUACGGUGUUCGUAUGUUAGAAUCCGAUUUUGUAGAGAAAUUCGGAGGUUGGAAUUUUGUUUUAAGGCUUUUCGACUAAAUAGAAGGGAGAAUCUUCAGUCUGGCUCUAGCUAAUGUGUUCAACUGGGUUGUGGUGGCACGGGAAGGUGAACGAGGUGUUAAACAGUGAUUUUGGACAACUCCAGAGUAGUUCCUAGCACGUUCGAGGACGAACGUAUAGCACCCCGAAACAUUUCGAAGUACUUAAGCGCUAUUAAGGAAGUUGAUGGGUGCUAAUUAUAUUAUUUUGUGUGCAGAAGAGGGAUAUUAAUAUGAUGGAUAUCAAUUGGAUAUGAUAAUAAGUGUACGAGGCAUAUUAUAAGUGAUGUGGGGUCUAAGGAUAGGCCUAAGUCUAAGCCAAGUUGGAAAAUUACAUGAUAGACUAAAGUUCCAAAUGAGUACGGACAAGAUCAAACUUUGGACGCGCAUAUCUACAUAUAUAUAAAGAUUUGUGUGAUGAACAACCUAUCAAAUUAAAGAUCUUCGAGUCUAGUUUUCAACGCUUCAAAUCGUUCGUCAUUUGGACACUCCUACAAGAAGUUAUGACCAAAUUACCAAAGAUUGGCAGAAGGUGACACUACCGCGCCGCCCCAUGCGGCGCCCCAUGUGGCGCGCCUGUGGGGAUUUCCAGAACACUUCAAAAUUUCAUUUCUAGGCACAUUUUUCACUACCAGGCUGCGCCCCGUGGCACCCCAUGCAGCGCGCUAUGCAAAUUUCAGGGUUUUUACGACCCGACCCCAUUUUAAUAAAUAGCCUUUGGGGCUUAUUUUUGGGCGAUUAUCUGAUGAUUUUAGAGAGAAGUGAGAGUGUUUUAGAGAGAGGAAGAAGCUCAAGUGCUAUGUUCAUCAAGAUCUUGUCCAAGCUUUGAAAUCCAACAAGAAAAUCUCACAAGUUCUUCAUCUAAGAGGUAAGGUUUCAUACCCUAGUUUUCAAUUUCGAAUUUGGGUAGAAGAUGUUUGAUUGAGAGUAUGUUUCUUGGGUGUAAGAGUAUUAUUUUUACAUGCAUGUACCAAUAAGAUUUCUGGGAAGAUUGUUGAGCUCAAAUAAGUAAAGAUUGGGUUGUGGAAUGAAGGAAAUCUUGUAGAAGAACCUUGUAGUCAAAUUUGCACACCAAGUGUUUGAUGAAAUGCUCAAAUGAGCUGAAACCAUGAAUAUCUUCCUAAUUUGUGUUCAAUAUUGUUGUGUCUCAAAAUAGAUUGGGAUUGCUAGGAUUUCCGAAAUAUUGUAGUAAUUUAAGGAAAGCUCAAAGCGAGGUAUGUUGUCUAAACUACUCUUUUAGAAAUGAAUUCCAUGAUCUUCCCGUAAGUUUCAAGUAUUGUUGGCUCAAUUUCCUAAUUUCCAUGUUUCGAGUUGUUCCUAAUAAAUUCGAUUAUCCCUAGUAAGCAAAGUGUUGAAAGAUGUAUGAAUUCAAAAUGUGUUCUGAAUGUUCCUAUCACAUUAUGUUAUCCUUCGGUAAUGUGCUCAAGAAUGAUAUGUAUACUAAAAUGUUAUGGCUUUGAGUCGUGUUUCAAACUAAAGCCAGUAUGCCAACUUGUGUGAGAAAAACUUGAUAUGCUUAAUACUCUUAAUUACUCAUAUGUGUACCUAAAUUCUUGAUUGAAAAUGUCUUAUUAUUGAUAAUCUAUAAAGAUGGUUGGAAGUGAAAUCAGUGAAUUGGGGAUAUAAAGUGUGGCCAACGCGCCAAGAGUGAAAGUUAUACUUGUGGACAAUGGUGCUAAUGAAAUGAGAUGAUGUGAGAAAGAUUAUGAAAUGAGCUUUGAUUCAACUGUUCCAAAAUUGACUUCGAAAAUAGAAUUGCCUAAAAGCUUAUGAACUCAAGUGAUGCCCGUAUGUGGCUGUUAUAACUAAUGUUAUGCUUUGUAAGUAGUUUCGAUGUGUUUUGCGUUCUUACAUAUUCGUGAGUUGAAAUUGUGUAUUUUCCUUUUUGGGGAAAAGUAUUUCAAGAAUAAAUAAUGUGUUACUUGGUUAUGAUUUUAAUUUGUGCUUCGAUUGCCAAUCAUUUUACUCCAUUUCUUGGAAAGAAAUCUAUUGUGUUUAAAGCCUUCAUUACUAAUGAACCUAAAGUUGUGAUUUCCAGAAUAUUCUAUUUAUUGAUAUUUAUGAUGAUGAUCCAUGAAAGAGAAGAAAUGAAAGUGUGGAAUAUGAAAUACGGCCAUUGUGCCAUGAAUGAAGAAUCAUAUGUAUGGCCAAGAGAGCCAAUGAAAUAAUGAUGUUGAAAAUUGUUGAAAGUGCCAAUGAAGAUAUACGAUAUAAAAGGUUAUGAGGUAAAUGCAUUUGUAUUGUUGUUUCGUUUUAUUCAAAUCAAUAAUAUUUUUGGGAGUAUUGAUAGUCACCGAGGAAGGGUAGGUUGAAAUAACCUAACCCCGAAACUACACGUGCCGGUGUAGGAGUGGAUUGUGAUUAUUCCCCUUAUUUGGGAUGACGAUUGAUGUGAUAAAAUUAUUUCCUUAAUUGGGAUGAGAUGAUUGAUAGAAAUGGAGGAUGUCGAUCCACACGNNNNNNNNNNNNNNNNNNNNNNNNNNNNNNNNNNNNNNNNNNNNNNNNNNNNNNNNNNNNNNNNNNNNNNNNNNNNNNNNNNNNNNNNNNNNNNNNNNNNNNNNNNNNNNNNNNNNNNNNNNNNNNNNNNNNNNNNNNNNNNNNNNNNNNNNNNNNNNNNNNNNNNNNNNNNNNNNNNNNNNNNNNNNNNNNNNNNNNNNNNNNNNNNNNNNNNNNNNNNNNNNNNNNNNNNNNNNNNNNNNNNNNNNNNNNNNNNNNNNNNNNNNNNNNNNNNNNNNNNNNNNNNNNNNNNNNNNNNNNNNNNNNNNNNNNNNNNNNNNNNNNNNNNNNNNNNNNNNNNNNNNNNNNNNNNNNNNNNNNNNNNNNNNNNNAGGUUUUGGUGAGCCCUACUCUAUUCCAGGCUUUAUGUCAUCUGACGUUGUAUUUUGUACUAUGGGGUAUAGCCGGGACCUUGUCGCCGACAUUUCCAUUCUUCACUUCUGUUGUACUUAGAGGCUUCAUAGACAGGUUGUGGCUUGUAGUCGAUGUUGGGAAUUGAACUAGAAAUGUUGGUAUUUGGCAGACAUAUUUUUUAUUAUAUCUAUAAAUUUAUAAUAUUUUGGAAAUUGUGAAUGAAGUUGCUAAUGGAAAUGAAAUAGGAGUUGAUAAUGAAAUCUUAUUAGUGUUUCAUUAAUGGAGUACAUCUCCUCUUUAUUCAGGGUUGAAUUUGGGUAGAAUGAAAUCUAACAGGCUUGCUCAGCCGGGUUUACUCGGUUGAGCGCCGGUCGCGCUCCCCGAGUUUGGGGCAUGACAAACUUGGUAUCAGAGCCUAAGGUUUUAAAGUGUCCUAGGAUGUCUCGGAGCCGUGUGUAGUAGAGUCCUUCUUAUCGGUGUGUUGUCGACCAAAUCUAUAAUGAGGAGGCUACUUGGACAUUUAGGAAUUUCACACUUCUUUGGUACUCCAGAUCGUGCGAUAGAGCUCAAGAUAGGAAGCUAAUUUCCUCGUCAUGUCUCAUUUGCCAUAUGAGUAACCCACGGGUUCGAGGCAGCGAGGAGGUAUUGAAAGAACAAGUUACUAAGGGAAGUGUCCUUGUCCCUAUUAAUGUUAUCGUGCCACCUGAUCAUGUGGUAAGAGCACCUAAGAAACGAAAGAGGGUUGUUUGUACCAAUAAGUAGGGAUGUUUGAUUUGUAAGAAACACCAUUUGGGUACGUGUUGAAUGACUCUUGAAAUAUGUUAUGGUUGUGGAAAGAGGGGGCACAAGAUGAACAAAUGCCCUAGGUUGGGUACACCCAUCACGGUAUGCCUGAGGUGCGGGAAGGAUCAUUUGGUGUCGUGUUGUAAGUAUGCUCAGGAGAGUGUUAGGAGUGGCAGGCUUGGGCAAUUUCAAAGGCCCACACAACAAACCAGUAUAGAGAUUAUUACUCCCGCCAUGAAGGCUUGGAGGAAGGAUAAGGGGAAUGUUUUUGAUGUAUGAAAAAGGGUAAAUAUUAGGUCGGUGGGGUGAGUCCGUUUAACAGACCUCAUCCUCGUUGUGUGAAAUGUAGGAGAUGUCAUUCAGGGGUAUGCCACUAUGGUACCAAUGUAUGUUAUGGAUGUAGAGUCGAGGGGAAUCAAUUAAUAUAUUGCCAUGUCAAUCUAAAAUCACCAUGUAAGUCACUAUUUAGUACAUCAUUAUGAACACCGCAUUAUUUUUCCUUAUUCUAUAUGUGCAUCCAUAAUGGAGAACCCUCAUAAACAUGGUCUUAACAAGACGUUGAAUCACAAAAUAUUGCAUGUACUUACUUUUUGAACGAGGCGCAUUAUUCGUGAAUCCACUCUAUCACAAAUUCGCUUAUUUACAACUUCUUGUGGAAUUGAGCUCUAUAAUUAUGUCCUUGAAUUGAGUUUAACUCUAGGACUAAUACUUCCCACUUGCUUUCCAAAAUUAUCAACAAGAGACUAUACCUGAUGAAUUUCUUAUAGAACCUUUUGAUUCAAAUGGUUAACAUGUUCUCACUUGUGCUUAUGGAUGCACAGUCAUAAAGUUUAUCUAUGUGGUAUCAAAUCCAAUGUAUAGCGGCCUAGUGUUGAGAUCCUUCUUAAGCCACUAUCUCUGGUAUACGUGGCUCCUAUGGUUGGAACAAUUACUUUACUCCUUUGUGUAUAUUUUCAUGAAUCCUUUUCACUGCCUAGUAGCAUGAGAGCAUAGCUCAACACCUAUCAUAUGUGUACCUGUCAAUUGAAAGGGGUCACUUAUCCGCAUAAAAGUUUCUAGGAAAUUUGAGAUUUUCACAAAUUCAUCGCAGGAAGAUCUUUUUGUUCGCCCAUCUCUGUAUGACUUUCAUGUCCACCUAGAUCAUGCCUCAGUAAGUAGCUCACUUUGUAACUAGUAUUGUCGUCUUCCAUGAAGUGGCCUGGUAUUGCAGCUUGAGAGUUAUUAUGGCAAAAACAUGGCUAUCUCAUAGAGAAGUGUUCAUUUUCUCUAACCAAUACAUGAUUUCAUCCCAACAUUAAGAUGUCCUAGCUAUGUGGUUUCACUCGUGAAAGAUUGAAAUUAGAUGCUUAGAGAUUAUGGCACAUAUCAUGAGUAUAUUGAUUUGAAAGACAAGUUUGUCGCAUCUCUAGUUCUCUCAUAUAGGAUCAACUAUCGGAAAGGGGUUAAGCUGUCAGAAUGAUAAUAAUCUCACAAGUGUUCAACUUCCUUUUCAUCCUCAUAGGUUUGUGGCAUAGAUUACUUGUGCUAGUUACUGUUAAUGCAAUUUCAUGCAUUUUGAAACCCAUAUCACAUUCGGGGUGCCAAAAUAUUCUUAUUUCGAGUUGAACUGAUUUUCCAUACACUCCAGGAGACAACUGGUGUCAUGUACUUGGCCAUUUCUUAUUAAGGCUUACUAUUGCCUGAACAAGGCACAUAUGGAAUGAAACAAUUGUUGUUGUCCUAUUCAUGACUCAUAGUCUUCCAAGAAUAACUGAUGCUAAUGUCUUUAUUCUUCCGAUUAUGCCUCCCAUAUGUCACAUGUCAAAGAAGAAGCAUCAUCCCGUAAUCAAAUAUAUAGGAUAGGAAAUUUUAUCGUCAUAUUCAUGCUAGCACAUCUUAGAGAAAUUGUUGGAGGUCGCCAAAGGUUUAUUUUGGGUGUUUGGCGUAGAGUUUUAGAGUUGAAGAAAGUGAACAGGUUAUUUUCAAUAUUUUCUCCAUGAGGAUGUUAUGUGAAUUUCUAAUAAGGUUAAAAUAUGUGCAGUCACAUUAGGCCUUAUGAAAUCCUGAAGGAAAUAUGCCAAACUAUGAGUAUGAUGUUUCCCUAUUAUUGUUCUCCAUGUACCUGGUGUUUCAUGUGACUGUGUCUAAGAAGGUAGUUGUAAUUCUUUGUCUAUCGUUCCGGUAAAAGCUAGUGGAGGUGAAGUAAAUGGAUAAUUAGCCUAUGAGAGGUACUUAAUUGUCAUCCUUAUUAGAUAAGUCUGGGAGUUGAGAUUGCCUCCGUGAAUGUGCUAUGGUGAAGUCUGUGAGUCGAGGAGCCCACCUCGAAGGCCGAAAUUGUCAAGGAAAGAAAAUGUUUCCACUUGGUUGUAUAGUUAAAUAAUUGGGGGUCGAAAGGCAUUAUCUAUGUGUUAUGAUUUAAAUAGGUGCAACUCAUGUCCAGGUAUCAAUUUUGAUAAUAUAAUGCUNNNNNNNNNNNNNNNNNNNNNNNNNNNNNNNNNNNNNNNNNNNNNNNNNNNNNNNNNNNNNNNNNNNNNGAUUGAGGUGUGCAGAAGAAGAGAUAAGUUAUGUUAUGUGUUUGGAGCGGACUCUACUUCUCAUUCGAGGACGAAUGAUCUUAAGUGGGGGAGAAUGUAGCACCCCGAAAACUUUUGAAGUACUUAAGCGCUAUUAAGGGAGUUAAUGGGUGCUGAUUAUAUUAUUUUAUAUACAGACGAGGGCUAUUAAUACGAUGGAUAUCAAUUGGAUAUGAUAAUAAGUGUACGAGGCAUUUUAUAAGUGAUGUGGGGUCUAAGGAGAGGCCUAAGUCUAAGCCAAGUUGGAAAAUUACAUGAUAGACUAAAGUUCCAAAUGAGUACGCACAAGACCAAACUUUGGAAGAGCAUAUCUACAUAUAUAUAAAGAUUUAUGUGAUGAACAACCUAUCGAAAAUGAAAUAUCUUCGAGUCUAGUUUCUAACACUUCAAAGCUAGCAGAAGGUGACACUACCGCGCCGCCCCAUGCGGCGCGCCUAUAGGGAUUUCCAGAACACUUCAACAUUUCGUUUCUAGGCACAUUUUUCACUACCGCGCGGCGCCUCGCGCGGCUGUGCAAAUUUCGAGAUUUUUACAACCCGACCCCAUUUUAAUAAAUAGCCUUUGGGGCUUAUUUUUGGGCGAUUAUCUGAUGAUUUUAUAGAGAAGUGGGAGUGUUUUAGAGAGAGGAAGAAGCUCAAGUGCUAUGUUCAUCAAGAUCUUGUCCAAGCUUUGAAAUCCAACAAGAAAAUCUCACAAGUUCUUCAUCUAAGAGGUAAGGUUUCAUACCCUAGUUUUCAAUUUCGAACUUGGGUAGAAGAUAUUUGAUUGAGAGUAUGAUUCUUGGGUGUAAGAGUAUUAUUUUUACAUGCAUGUACCAAUAAGAUUUCUGGAAAGAUUGUUAAGCUCAAAUAAGUAAAGAUUGGGUUGUGGAAUGAAGGAAAUCUUGUAGAAGAACCUUGUAGUCAAAUUUGCACACCAAAUGUUUGAUGAAAUGCUCAAAUGAGCUGAACCCAUGAAUAUCUUCCUAAUUUGUGUUCAAUAUUGUUGUGUCUCAAAAUAGAUUGGGAUUGCUAGGAUUUCCGAAAUAUUGUAGUAAUUUAAGGAAAGCUCAAAGCGAGGUAUGUUGUCUAAACUACUCUUUUAGAAACGAAUUCCAUGAUCUUCCCAUAAGUUUCAAGUAUUGUUGGCUCAAGUUCCUAAUUUCCAUGUUCUGAGUUGUUCCUAAUAAAUUCGAUUAUCCUGAGUAAGCAAAGUGUCGAAAUAUGUAUGAAUUCAAAAUGUAUUCCGAAUGUUCCUAUCACAUUAUGUUAUCCUUCGAAAAUGUGUUCAAGAAUUAUAUGUGUACUAAAAUGUUAUGGCUUUGAGUCGUGUUUCAAAUGAAAGCUAGUAUGCCAACUUGUGUGAGAAAAACUCGAUAUGCUUAAGACUCUUAAUUACUCAUAUGUGUACCUAAAGUCUUGAUUGGAAAUGUCCUAUUGUUGAUAAUCUAUAAAGAUGGUUGGAAGUGAAAUAUGUGAAUUGGGGAUAUAAAGUGUGGCCAACGUGCCAAGAAUGAAAGUUAUACUCGUGGCCAAUGGUGCCAAUAAAAUGAGAUGAUGUGAGAAAGAUUAUGAAAUGAGCUUUGAUUCAACUGUUCCAAAAUUGACUUCGAAAUAGAAUUUCCUAAAAGCUUAUGAACUCAAGUGAUACCCGUAUGUGGCUGUUUUAACUAAUGCUAUGCUUUGUAAGUAGUUUCGAUGUGUUUUGCAUUCUUACAUAUUCGUGAGUUGAAAUUGUGUAUUGCCCAUCUUNNNNNNNNNNNNNNNNNNNNNNNNNAUGGCCAAGAGAGCCAAUGAAAUAAUGAUGUUGAAAGUUGUUGAAAGUGCCAAUGAGGCUAUAUACGGUAUGAAAGGUUAUGAGGUAAUUGCAUUUGUAUUGUUGUUUCCUUUGUAAGAAAAUCAAUAAUAUUUUUGGGUGUAUCGAUAGUCACCGAGGAAGGGCAGGUUGAAAUAACCUAACCCCGAAACUACACGUGCCGGUAUGGAGUGAAUUGUGAUUAUUCCCCUUAUUUGAGAUGAGAUUGAUGUGAUAAAAUUAUUCCCCUUAAUUGGGAUGAGAUGAUUGAUAGAAAUGGAUGAUGUCAAUCCACACGACAUUGUGGUGAGAUGGCCUAGCCGAUCGGGUCGUGAUCUGACACCAUGUCGCACACAUGGUGGUGAUUAUGCUGGAAAUUGUAAUUGCAAUCGUGAUUGUGGUUGAUGUCUCGGAUGAGAUUGCCUAGCCGAUCGGGUCGUGAUCCGACUCCAUGCUAAAAGUACGGUGGUAUUGGUAUUGUAAAAGGUGAUAUUGUGAACAGUAGUAUAUCGGUGCUAAAGAUCUCCCAACCAAAAAUAAUAUUAUCUUCGUAUUUUGGAAAUUAUUAUGUUUUAACUUGGAAAUUGGAUAUCAUUGAUUGUUGAUUGUUGGUUCCAUGGUUUUCCCUUUUAUGUUGGCAUUCUAUUUUGAAAAAGGACAGUUAGCUUUACAUACUAGUACUAUUCCAUAUGUACUAACGUUCCUUUUUGCCGGGGGUGCUGCAUCUUCAAUGGAUGCAAGUGGUUCAUCAACAGGGCAGCUUUGGUCCUCAUUAGCAGUCACUCUUUAUUCAGCAAGUUUUGGUGAACCCUACUCUAUUUCGGGCUUUAUGUCAUCUAAUGUUGUAUUUUGUACUAUGAGGUAUAACCGGGGCCUUGUCCCCGGCACUUUCGUUUUUUACUUCUAUUGUACUUAGAGGCUCCGUAGACAGGUUGUGGGUGAUAGUCGAUGUUGGGAAUUGAAUUAGAAAUGUUGGUAUUUGGCAGAUAUAUUUUUUAUUAUAUCAAUAAACUUGUAAUAUUUUGGAAAUUAUAAAUGAAGCUGCUAAUGAAAAUGAAAUGGGAGUUGUUGAUGAAAUCUUAUUAGUGUUUUAUUAAUAGAUUACAUCUCCUCUUUAUUCAUGGUUGAAUUUUGUUAGAAUGAAAUCUAACAGGCUUGCUCAGCCGGGUUUACUCGGUUGAGCGCCGGUCGUGCUCCCCGAGUUUGGGGCAUGACAGAAUGUAUGUUUAAGUGGGGGAGAAUGUAACGACCCGACUGGUCAUUUUGAGCUCUAGCGCGUCGUUCAACGGCUUGAGACCUUGAGCAGCUUCACUUCAUGUUUUAUGACUUGUGCGUGUGGUCGGAAUUGAAUCCCGGGAAGUUCAGAGUUGAUUUGGGAAGAAAAUUCUAAAUUCUGAUGCUUUAAGAUGGAAGGAUUGAAUAUGGUUUGACUUUUGAGUAAUCGACCUCAGAAUCAGGAUUCGAAAGUUCCAAUAGGUUCGUAUGUUAAUUUCGGACGUGGUCGUAUGUUCGGGUUGAGUAUCGGGUGGUCCGGAAGCAUUUCGGCACUUAUUGUAGAAAGUUGGCAUUUUUGAAUGUUUUGGAAUUUCAUAAGUUUGGUUUGAAGUGGAUUUUGAUGUUAUCGAUGUCUGUUUGAGGUUUCGAGCCUAGGAAUAGGUUUGUAUUGUGAUUUGUGACUUGUGCGUAAAAUUUGAAGUCAUUCCAGAUUGAUUUGGUACGUUUCGGCACAAGACAUAUAAUUUGAAAAUUUAUAAGUUGAUUCGAGGAGAGAUUCGUAAUUUCAAUGUUAUUUGGCGUGUUUUGAGGGCUCGACUAAGUUUGUAUUGCAUUUUGGGACAUGUUGGUAUAUUUGGUUAAGGUCUCGAGGGCCUCGGGUGGAUUUCGGAUGGUUAACGGAUCGAUUUUGGACUAAGGAAAUGCUAGGAUAUUUCUAGUUGUUGGUGCGAUCGCUUCUGCGGAAGCUGGGUCGCAGAAGCGAAGAUUGCAUCGCAGAAGAGAGGAAGGAUGGAUGGGAAAGGCUUCGCAGAAGCGGAAAAUAGAACGCUUAUGCGGCUUCGUAGAAGCGACAGAGUGGUCGCAUAAGCAAGCUGGAGCGCAUAUGCAGCUAUUACUUCGCACCAGCGGUUGCGCAGAAGCGGAGAGGAGUCCGCAGGUGCGAUGGGACUGCUGACCAGUGGACUCCGCAGAUGCACAUUUGUGGUCACAAAAGCGACUUCGCAGAUGCAAAGAUUUUGUCCGCAGAAGCGGAAACUGGGCAGAACAUAAGGGAUCGAACUUGGUCAUUUCGUCAUUUUCAUUUGAGAUUUUUAGAGCACGGUUCUUGGGCGAUUUUUGAGGAGUUUUCAUUAUGAAACACUAGGUAAGUAAUUUCCCACUUGUUCUGAGCUAAAUGUAAGGUUUAUAUGUGGAUUUAAGGAGGAAAAUUUAGGAAAAUUGUGGGAUUUUUGUAGAAAACCUAGAAUUGGUAAUUUUGGAUUUUGACCACAAUUUUGGAAAUGAAAUUAGGAAUAAAUUAUAUAUUUGAGUUUGUUAUGUUAUGGGUAAAGUUUAUCUUCGAGAAAUUUCAGAAUCUGGGCCGGUGGGCUCGAGGGUUGAUUUUUAUUGACUUUUCGAACGAAGCAGAGAAUUGUUAUAAAUUGAUUAAUUAUGGGUAAUAGAGUAUAUAUUUAUGGAUUUGCAUAUUGUUUGACUAGUUUUGAAUUGACGGGCAUCGGUUUGAGGUGCUAUAGAGGCUUUGGAGCCGGCUAUAGAACUUCGGAGCGAGAUAAGUCUCCUGUCUAACCUUGUGAGGGGGAAACUACCUCUAGGUGAUAUUAAUUGUUAUGUGCAACUAGUUGUAGGUGCUACGUACGAGGUGACGAGAGUCUGUACGUAGCUAAAGCAUGUUUAUGUCCGGGUAGACUUAGAGCUUUAUCAUGUAAUAAUUAAAUUAUUUAAACUCGUUCUGCUGGCUUAAUUAAUUAAAGUUAUAACUGAAUUUGACUUAGAAAUAAAUAUAUAUAUAUAUAUAUAUAUAUAUAAUANNNNNNNNNNNNNNNNNNNNNNNNNGGUAAAGAUUAUAUUCGUUCUGUGCUCAUGUACUAUAUUGUAAACACGUGUCUCGUAAUUCGGUAACUUCCUUCCUUUCUUAUAGAGCGGGCCUAAUGCCUCGGCAGUAUAAUAGAUGCAUAUAUGGUUCAUGCCGCUCGACCCUCGGCAGUGUACACAUUAUUCUGGAUUAGGCUGAACGACCUCGGCAAAAUCGUGCAUUAUAUCGCUAAUAGUCCGAAUAUUCACGAGAUAAACCUUCCACUGAUGCCCGGCAUUUUUAUGGUAUUCCUUAUUUAUUUUGUAUUGAUACUUGGCAUUUCCUGAGCUAUUAAGGUAGAAUACAAGAUCGAGAAAUUUAUACUUUAAAAGAAAUAUUUGAAAGAUUAUGAAAUUUAUAGAUUUACCCCACUAUCGCUGUGCACUUCAUAUCUGAUAUGAAUUUUUAUAUUAUUUUAUUAGACCUCUAGUAAGUGUCGAUGUUGACCCCUCGUCACUACUUCUCUGGGGUUAGGCUAGAUACUUACUGGGUACAUAUUGAUUUACUACUCAUGGUGUACUUCUGCACUAAAUGUACAGGAUCUGACAGGUUCCUUUGGUGAUCAUCUUGGCGCAUAGGCGCAUCCGUCGAGGAGACUUUAUGUGAGUUGCAAUUCAGGCUAUGCAUCGCAGUCCACCGAUUCUCCAUUGUACUAUUUAUUUUAUCCUGUCUUAUUUACAUUCUGGACAGAUGUUGUAUUAUUAUUGUACUUCUUAGUAAAUGUACAUGCACUUGUGACACCGGGUUUUGGGGGUUCCUACGGGUUGUUCAUUAUUGUAGUUCAUGUAAAUAUUAUCGUUUACCCUGUAAAUUCUAUUUCAUACUAUUUAAUUAAUGAAAAUUAUGAUUUCAAAAAUACUAAAAUGAGUAAUUAGGUUGAUCAAUUACCGUUGGCUUUCCUGACGGCGGUGUUAGGUGCCAUCACGACCUUUAGUGGAUUUUGGGUCGUGACAUUAGCGCUUGGGCUGGAUCCGCCCCUCCGGAGUCUAACAUACUAGCAGUGAGCGCAGGUACCAUUGAGUGUUGAGUGCGAGUGUCAUGUGCGAGUGUCGAGUGAUUGAGAGUGCUGAGCGAUUGAGCGUGCUGAGUGAGGUUGAAUACUCUGAGAGCAUGAGUACAUGAGUUUAUCAUUGUGUUGCAUUACAAGUGACAUGCAUAUUUGACAUGUAGACAUAGAGAUGUAAUAUUCCUCAUGCUAGCUAUACUUGGCAUAUUUUAUCAGUAUUGAGCCUAAACUGUUGAACUUGAAAGCAUGUCUACAUUUUUGUACUGUGUACAACUGAUUAUGAGAUUUCUCUAAGUUAUUACUGUUCUUUUCCUUUCAUAUAUGUACUGUAAUUAUCUGGAUUUAGACUGUAACUAUAUGAGCCCGUCACUUCUUUCAGCCCAAGGUUAGUCCUGUUACUUAUUGAGUACAUUGGGUCAGUUGUACUCAUACUACACUCUCCACUUUGUGUGCAGAUCCAGGUAUAUCUAGACCUGGUGGUUGCUAGACUUGGAGCAUUACCUGCUUGGAGACUUUUGAGGUAGCUGCUUUGGUGUCCGCAGACCUCGACUCUCCUUAUUUUCAGUUUAUUUAGCAUUGUUCUAUCUUUCCAGACAGUUGUAUUAGAAGUUUUUGACUGUGUUGUCAUUUAGUAGCUCAUGUACUCGGUGACACCCGGAUCUUUGAGGAUUUUGUAUUUGAGUCGCAGUUAUUCCUUUCAGUUAUUUAUGAGAUUUUUACUAUUAAACUCAAUAUAUCAUAUUUUUAAAUUAAAAUACGUAGUUAUUUUAUGAUUGUCGGCUUGCCUAGUACUGUGAUAGGCGACAUCACGACAUGUUGAGAUUUGGGUCGUGACAUUUGCCUAGUUGGGAAUUCUGGUUCUGCAGCUGUCGAAUUUGCGAUGGAUAGGUUGCAAAUGAGACUAUAGUAUUUGCGAGGGGAAUCUCUCUUUGCGAAUCUAGGCGUGUGAAGCAGUUCUGCAUUUGUGAGUGUUUGUCUGCAAUUGUGAGCACGAGGUUGUUUGCUCUUGCGAUGAUUGGUUGUCUCUUUUGCGACUGUGUCCUCCGAUGGUUGGGUUAGCAUUUGCAAUUUUGGUGGUCGCAAUUGCGAGUUGCCGCUUCUGGGUGGACUUUGCUUCCGCAAAGUAUUUUGUCGCAAAUGCAACUUUGUCUUGGGUAGUUGGGUUUGCAAAUGCGGUACUUUGGUCGCAAUUGCGGUGGCCACUAUUGUGAACCUUUGGCCGCAAAUGAGAGAUCCACAACUGAUACUUAGAGGCCAUAUCAGGGUUUGAGUUCAUUUUGUCACAUAUGCAGAUUGGGAGCUCGGUUUGAGGCAAUGUUUGAGGGAGAUUUUCACAUUUAACUAUUGGGUAAGUGAAUAUCACUUAAUUUUGAUAUUAUAUCUUUAUUUCUUAUAAUAUUUUACACCAAAAUCAUAGAAAAUGAAAGAAUAUUUUGGGGAUUGUUUACUACAUUUUGAGAAAUGAAAAUUUAGAAUUUGAGAGUCGAAUUGGACUCAGUUUUGAAAACUAAUCACAUAUGGGCUUGUGGGGUUAUGGGUAGUCAGGAUUGUAACGACCCGACCAGUCGUUUCAAGUAUUACAGCCUCGUUCUCCCAUUUACUGCUCUAUUUGUGCCUUAUAGUUGUAUCAUGACCUAUCGGAUUAGUUAGUUCGGCUCUGGAGAGAUUUCGGAAUAACUUGAGAUACUUAGUAUCAUAAUGGAAAGCUUAAGUUGGAAAAGUCAACCGGAUAUUGAUUUAUAUGUAAAUGACCUCGGAUUUGAAUUCUGAUGUUUCCAGUAGCUCCGUAUGGUGAUUUUGGACUUGGGAGCAUGUCCUGAAAAUUAUUUGGUGGUCCGUAGUGGAAUUAGGCUUGAAAUGGCAAAAGUCAAAGUUUUUGAAAAGUUUGAUAGGGGGGUUGACUUUUUGAUAUCGGGGUCAGAAUCCGAUUCUAAAAAUUGGAAUAGCUUCUUUAUGUCAUUUAUGACUUGUUUGCAAAAUUUGAAGUCAUUCCGAAUUGAUUUGAUGUGUUUCGGCACAAGAUAUGGAAUUUGAAAGUUCAAAGUUCAUAGAUUUUGAUUUGAGGUGCGAUUCGUCGUUUUGAUGUUGUUAGGUGUGAUUUGAGGCCUCGAAUAGGUCCGUAUUAUGUUAUGGGACUUGUCGGUAUGUUCGGAAGGGGUCCCGAGGGGCUCGGGUGUGUUUCAGAUUGAUUUCAGAUCUUUUUUUUUCUUCAUGUUGUUAUUGCUGGUUGCUGCUGGUUCUGGUGAGACCGCACCUGCGGCUGGUUUGUGCAGGUGCGAUGGUCGCAGAAGCGACAAUGCAGUCGUAGAAGAGGGAUGGCAUCUGGAUGAGGAGGCCCGCAGGAGCAGAGAAAAGGGCACAGGUACGGAUGCGCAGGUGCGUCGAGUGGAAGCGCAGGUGCGAGGAUCUUCGCAGAUGCGGAGUUUAAUACCGCAGGUGCGGGGGUUGCUAGGCAAGGCUAUUAUUCACAGAAGCAAAGUUUUUCCGCAAAAGCGAAGGUCGCAGAUGCGACAUUUUUACCGCAUAUGCGAAAGUGCUGGGCAGAAUGUUAAAUACAAGGGUUCGCGAUUUUGGCUUCAUUUUAACAUUUCCAAGCUCGGAUUGAGGAGAUUUUUGGAGCAAUUUUCAUCACAGGAAUUGGGGUUAAGUGUUCUACACUUGAUUUUGAUCUUAUUCCAUGAAUCUAUCUUCAUUUUUGGCUAUUGGCUGAUGAAUUUUAAAGAGAAAUUAGGGGUUUUAGCCUAAAGUUUCAUAAUGUGAAUUUUUGAGUUUUGAAUAUCGAAUUGGAGUCAGAUUUGAGUGAAACUAGUAUGGUUGAACCCGUAAUUGAAUGGGGUGUCGGAUUUUGUGAUUUUUAUCGGGUUCUGAGGCGUGGGCACGAGUGUGACUUUUGGCCGGAUUUGGGUUUUGAUUAAGGAUUCGAUCUUUAUCCUUUGGAAUUGUUUCCUUGGGCUUUAUUUGAUGUAUUUGAGUUGCUUUUGGCUAGUUUUGAGCCUUUCAGAGGUCGGUACACGCGAGAUGGAAUUUUUGGAGCAUCGUUUAUCUUACUCGACAUUGGAUUUUUCUUGUUCGAGGUAAGUAACUCUUCUAAUAUUGGAGCUGAGAGUAUGAACCCUGAAUAUACGUGUUAUGUGUUUGGUGUUGAGGUGACACACAUGCUAGGUGACGGGCGUGUGGGCAUGCACCGUGUGAGUCGUGACUCCGUUAUUCCUGUGGUACUGUGAAGCUACCUGAAUUUGUCUGAAAUCAUGAAAUCUCUACGUACUAGAGUUACCGAAAUGUGAUUCAUGCUAUAAACUAUGUUUAGGAUACAUGCUCAUCCUGUUGGGACCCACCGAGAUCAUUUCUGCUGUUGAGUUAUCUGCUUUCAUUGCAUUACAUACUCAGUCAUACGCAUUCAUAUGCAUAUCAUAUCUCUGUCUCUACUGUUAUUUAUUGAUGCAUCAUAUCAUUAUUUUCGGGCUAGUAUCAUGACACUGUGAGCCCGUGAGAGAGAGACCGGAGAGAUUGAUGACUGAGUGAGGCUGAGUGCCUGAUUAUGAGUGACAUUUAUGGGAUAGGACUGCACGCCGCAGUGGUUAUACUAAUUUAUGAUAGCGCUUGGGCUGAAGGAGCCCCUCCGGAGUCUGCACACACCCCAAGUGAGCGUGAUUGAUAUUAUUGAGGGAUGGAUCUUCCCUAGAUAUGGAUCUUGUCCGAAGCAUUAUAUACCUAGAGAUGGAUCUUCUCCACGGGCUGGAUUGGCCCUACUCGGUACUGAGUGACUGAUGAUCAGUUGGUGUAUAUAUUCCGGGAUGGAUCUUCCCUGGGCCAGAUUGUCCAUAUACAGUACCGAGUGAUUGAGCAUGAUGAGUGGAAUGUAUGAGAAAGUGAGAUUGAGUACUCUGAGAGUGUAAGUACAUGAGUUCAUCUUUGAGAUACAUUGCAUUGACAUACAUGCCAUACAUGCAUAGAGAUGUAUUUUUCUCAUGCUGUACGGUAUCACGUCAUUCAUGACUUCUCACAUGUGUUGACACAUGGGCAUAGUGAUGCAUUGUUUUACCCUGGCUAUCUGGAAAGAAAAUGAAACAUCUUAUUUAUUAUUGAAAGGAGUUUUGGGAAAAUUACUAUUUUCAAACUUACUCAUAAUUUGGCAACUUCGGUAAACGAUUUGGGUUUUCACUUAUAUACUUGAAAGGCAGAACUAUUUUCAGAAAUCAUGAUUAAGCUAGGCAUUUUAUCUUUGAGUUAUUUCUUUUAUUACUUGCGUUAUGUUGUUAUGAACUAUUGUUGGUUACUGGAGUUGGACUCUGACCUUGGUACAAGCUCGCCACUACUUUCAACCUAAGGUUAGGUUUGUUACUUAUUGAGUACAUGGGGUCGGUUGUACUCAUACUACACUUCUGCACCUUGCGUGAAGUUGCUGUGUUCGUUGGGAGCUGGAUCUGAAGAUGUACCUGCGUUCCUGUUGUAGCUGCCUCUUGUUCAUGGUAGCCUUAGAUUCAUAAAACUCUGUUUAUGUAAUUUUCAAACAGACGACGUAUUUACUUCAUACCAGCUUUGUAAACUCUAUUCUUAGAAGCUCAUGAUUUGUACAACCAGUAUUUGGGGAAAUAUAUAAGAUUCAGAUAUUUUUUUACUUAAUUGCUUUAUUAAUUAUUAUUGGAAUUGUUUAGUGGUUAACUGGCUUACCUAGCAGGUUGGGUUAGGUGCCAUCACGACUAGUUGGAUUUUGGGUCGUGACAAGGAUCUACCCCUUGACUCGGGUUUUAACCUUAUGGGCCCAAGGUUGACUAUUGUUGACUUUUUGGGAAUUGGGUAAAGAUUUAAACUUUAUUAAUUGGAAUUGAUUCCUAUUGCGUGAUUUGAUAUGAUUGAGUUAUUGGGCUAGAUUUGGGCUGGACGGAGGUGAUUUUUAGAGAAAGGCUAUUUUUGAGGUUUGAUUUGGGCUUAUUGAGGUAAGUGUCUUGCGUAGCUUUGGUUAAGGGAUUUUUUUCCUAUUAAUUGAUGUUGUUUGCUGCAUGCGAGGGUGAUGUAUAUAUGAGGUGACGAGCGUAUAUAUAUGUUCCAUUUGUAUUCAUACUCGGGGUAGAUUCUAUCUUACUCUAUUCUUUAUUUGGUUGUGUAUUUUAUUUGAUUCCAUAUAUUAUUUAAUUAAUCGACGAUGUGAGUAUAAUAAACCAUGCUAGAGGAAUGUUGACGCUAUUGGUACCUUAUGUAGAACAUGAUGAGCAAGUCUUGAGACAUAUACUAUAUUUUUCUCGAGAUAGAUACACAUAGGUUAUGAACACACAUUCAGAUUUGUUCUUGUAAUGUGACUUCAUUGAGAUGUGUGCACUCCGUGAUACAUAUAUAAUCCUUUGUAUAACUACUUGAACUUGGUUGGUAUAAUUGAUUUUGUCAUAGUCAUGCUUUAUCCACAUUUUUAUUAUUAUUAUGUCCUUGUGCGCUUUAUAGAUGAGUUAUGAGGAUAUGCCGCAUGAUGAUUGUUGCACCCUAUUUUGCACAGGUUAAAAUAAAAUACAACUUGUGGUUCCUCUGAAGUUGAUGAAAGAAGAGUCACCACCUAAUAUUUUGAGGUACACUAGGGUACCUAUAAGUCUUUAAAGAUUAUUAUCUUAAUGGUCUACUAACCAGUGAGAUCCAGGUAAGAGUUCUUGUUACACUAAGGGGAAGGUAUUAGGCAUCCCUUAAAAUCUACCUGAGAUAGCUCCUUAAACAUAGGCUAGGUGCGGGGAAGGAAAUGCCUAUAUCCUAGUUGAUUAAUUGAUUAAAAUUUCUAAAAUGGUUUUUUAUGAAAAGCCUUGUAUGAGUAAAAAUUAUAUUAAUUCUAGUUUGAAAGCACAUCUUUUAUUUUGAGAAAAAGAAAUUAUAUUCCCAUUAGAAAUGGUAAGAUUUGUUUAAAAUUCUUAAUAAAAUGAGUGGUUAUUUCAAGAAAAUGUGUCUACAUAUUUAUUAAAACUGGUAUUCCUGAUUUGUUUAUUUGGAGGCUGUUUUACUAAAGACCAGUAUAUUUUCCAAAAGGUCUGCUUAAUCUUGGUUCUUCUAAAAAUCAGUGAUGUAUGAUUGCCCUUUUCUGUGUUAGAACAGUUCAGUUGCCUAUGAUCCAUUUUGAAAAUAUUUCAAAGGAGUUGUUUCUAUUUAAACUCGUUCAAGUUCUGUUGAUGCAUAAAACCAAACAAAACACAUUGGAAAAGAUAUGCAAGUGAAAGAAAGAUUAGUUGCCAAAAUAGUUAGUUUCAAAAUGUUUAUAUUUCAAAAGUGUUAGGGUUGUUAAAGUAAUUAAUUCUUGAAGCCACAAUUACUUUUUACCUAUUAGAUUCUGAUUUGCCUAAAAUCUACCUAAACGAUCAAGACAUCAAUGAAUUUCCAAUAUACACAGAAAGAAAGACAGUAAGAAUCAACAAUUAUUUUUAUAUAAAGAGAAGGAAGGCUAGACUCUCAUUAUUGGGCUGAAAGUUGGUCAGACCCAACUAAAAUUCUAAGUGGCAACAAAGCUUUGGUAGAUAGCAAGGAGACAACCCAAUUCUCGGACUUGGGCCUGAGUUCUCAAUGAUCUCAGCAUGCCCAGUGAUCCAUGCGAAGAAAAGAAAAGGAAAUGAUUAUAGCAUAUAAAAAUAGAAGGUAAAGUAAGAUAUACAUAUGAUGAAUAAGAACAUAAUCUAUAAGAAUAUAGCAAAGCCAAAUUUCAUUUAUGUUAAUCCCAUGAAGAUUAGUCAAGGUCAAUGACUAUGGGCUUAGGGUGAACCAUAUGUAUUUAUAAGGCCCCCUUAUGGACCCCAGACAAUUUAGAGUUCACGGGGGUCUCAUGGACCCGAGCAGUGGUUGUGCUAGGGAGGGGUCCCUUAAUCACAAAGUCAAGCUCACAUUAAAAUUCCCUUAAGCAUUUAACCUCACUCUUCUUCAGAGGUUUUAGCACAAACAAAAUAUCAACAUGGCAUUUCAACCAAACAAGUACCUAGGCAGCCUCACACAACCAAUACAAAAUACACUAGCAGAAGUACAUACGGUCUCAUAACACACUCCGAGAAUUCAAUUACACAGAAGCACCAAUUGACUCAAAGCAAAUAACCAUUCUAGGGAGUGAAGUCAUUACUGGGGUGCAAAGUCAUGAAUAAUCAAGGAUUAACACAUACUUGAGCUCUAAAACCAUAAUCAUUAUCAGACAUAGGUUACACAAGUUUCCAAAAUUUUAAUUGUUUUAAAGGCUUAAAGGUUGAUUCUGAAUCAUUCCAUGUGGCACAUCAUUUACAAAAUACUCAUAAGAGUCACAUAUACAAUCAGGAAAGGGUCAAAAAGAACAAACGAUUGACCAUAUACCCCUGUAAGCAAGCUAUUUACAAUUUCAUCUUCAGAGAAGUCACACUGAGUAGCUUAAGGCAUCAGUAAUUGGUAACGAUAAACAUAUGCACCCAUUUACUAACUUUACUAAAGGUCCAAUACUUCAUAGAGAACCUAUAAGAUAGAGUUCCCUUUAGGUAGGUUUAAGUUAUUAAAGUAAGUGACAAAAUACCACAGCAGUCGUAGAACAGAACAAGCACAUAGUUGAGAUUUUCAUAUCACACUAAGAACCUAUGCUAAAAUCAUACUCAAUAUCAGUCUUAAAGGAGUUAUUACUAACAGUAAAAAUACAUGAGAGCAUUAAGCAUUAGUAGAAUGGUCAAAAUCCAGUCUCACCAUUUAGAUCCUAUAGGCAUGACAUAUAGACAUGGUAAUGCACAUUGAGUAUACUCAUUCCAGUUAUCAGAUCCAGCAGUAUAUUCAAAUAUGGCAGAAAGAUCUUAUGGACAGUUUUCAAACACCACAUAGGCAUGAAAUAACAAGAAUGCUCAUUUAUACCUAGUUUAGGCAAAGUGGAUAUGUGAUAUGAAAGUUAACAUCUAUUUAUUCAAGCUACAAUGAUAAACUAACACAUAGAUCACCUUACUUUAACUGAAAAUCACAAACAUAAUACUUAUGAACAUGACUGUCAGUGGGAAUCACUCGACUAACCAGUCAACACAGUAUGAUGAGAGUCACAACAUGGUGCUAUGAGGAUCAUUCAAUUAGCCAAUCACACGACCAGCAUGGUAAGAAUGUUUUCAAUAACAUGACAAUAUAGGCAUAAAAAUCCUCCAGUUGACUAAACAAGGUGACAUGAAGGUUCAUAGAUAUCAUUCCAUUAAUAUGAUCAUACAAAAUAUGGGAAUCUAUAAGUGUCACCUAAUUAACAGAGCCAUAGUAGGGAUCAAAUAGGCUGCCAACAUAGAGAAUAACAUAGAAAGUUAACAGGACGAGGAUCACAAUAACAUUACUCUGAUUCAUUAAUAAAUAAACUAAUGAUAGUUUCAGUAUAAAAUAGACCUCAAUAGUCACUUCUUUGGAGCCUCAAACUAGGUGGUCCUCUUUAGCCAUUUAGGAACCACAAUUCACACUCAAUUUGAAGUAAUCAAACUCAAGCAAAAAAGAAAGAAAGAAAGGAAAUUAGAAAAGAAUUUUAGAGUAUUUUAGCAGCUAACAUUUACUAAGUUUCUUAGGUAGUUCGUCUUGUUCGGUGAAAGCAUUGAAGCUCCUAUUUAUAUUGGCCAUCGGAGCCUUAGGGUUCGUUUGAAUUCAAAGAGAUAGUGGGUUAUGGCAAUUGAACGCUGAUGAUAGCAAAGGGGAAAAAUAGAAGGAAAACAGAUGGGAGAUUAGAGUGACUUUUACCUUAGCAUGAAAUGGCGAAGGAAAUCGGCCGUUGGAGACCAAACCAUCGGUCAAAGCCCAUGUCUAGAGGUCACUGUGUUUGACCUCUAGACCAAGAAUCAUGAUAAUGGGAUUAAUAUCUUCAUGAAUCUACAGCUCUAUGCAUAGAUUUGGAUGGGAAUAGGAGGAAAUGAUUAUAUUCUCACCCUUUCACGUACAUGUCUAGGGUUUGGGGGUUUGAGAUUAAAAAUCAGAUGAGAAAAAAAGGAUAGGAUCGGCGAGAUUCUCGGUUGGAAGAGAGAUAGGGUGAAUUUUAGUCGAUUUUUAGUGACCUUGCACCAUUUUGUGCAAGGUUUCAGUGAUUGAUGGGUCUAAGAAGAUGAGAGAAAUGAGAGGGGAAAAGGAAAUAGAGGCGGCCGAUCUUUGGAUGAAAUGAUUAGGGUUUGGGGGUUGGUCUCUUAGUUAAAACGAGAGACGGGAGGGGAAGCCCUAGAUUUUUUGGGAAUAAAAG
rnacentral:lncRNA from 1 species